rnacentral:lncRNA from 1 species
AUCUAAUCUUUCUCUAUACUUGAAAGAAGAGGUUGGAAAAUCAUGUUCAGGUCUUUAAUGUACCACUGCAAUUAGUAGAGAAAUUAAAAGUGACUUUCAAAUAAAAGAAUGAGCUAUAUAUUCUAAGAAUAAUAGUGUUUUUUUUUAUAUGAUAAAUGUUUUAAGAACUAAAAUAAUUAAGAAUUCUUUACUUUGUUGAUUCAAGUAAUAUUUAUAGUUUCUUAAUUUUAUCAUGUUAUUUAAAUAAAAGAACUAAAAAAUUUAUUUUCUCUUCUUAGCAUUAACAUAUCUUAUCUUUCUCUAUACUUGAAAGAAAAGGGUGGAAAAUCAUGUUCAGAUAUUUAAUGUACCACUGCAAUUAGUAGAGAAAUUAAAAGUGAUUUUCAAAUAACCAUUAGCAUGUGAUUCAGUGGUUGUUAAUAUGAUAGUUAUUAGAGGCUAACACGAUCGUUAACUUCAGGUUAGUGAGAUUAGUCGAGGUGCGAGCAAGCUGGACCGGACACACAUAUUAAUAAUAAUAAUAAAAAAGUGAAUUUCAAAUGAAUUUAUAAUACUAGUUGGAUCGUAUAAAAUCAUUUUAAAAAAAUGGGUGUUAAAAAUUACCUGUCCAAGGAAAGGAGAGGGCUCCGGUUCACAAAAGUUAGUGCCCAAUAUGAGAGCACUUGAUCCCGAAUGCCAAACAGAAUGAUUAGUUUCGCAGAAAUAACCAGGGCGUUUGUCAUGAUGACUCUCAUAUAAUUGACUGCUUUCCCCUUCCUCGAGAAAAUCUAUACCACUACAGCUUCAAAGGAAAAUCUUCACAUGCUUUCCCCUCCCAAAAUAUUGCUUUGUCCUAUGUACCUCACGAUGCAUCGAUAGCCAAUGCUCUUUAAAAUUCUAAUGAACCCAGUAACCAGAGGAGAGAAAAUUCAUCACAAUUUGGAGAAUCUACGACUGCAAUAAAAUAAAACUGGUAUUGGGCUCGAAGGGCCAAUUGUUAGGAAAAUGAACGAUACUUCCCUUAGCCCAAAUGACCCAAAACCAACUUGCCUGAUGCUGGUUCCUCUACUUUUGAGCAGCCCUGCAAUGCAUUGGAUUUUGCUUUGGCCAUGAAAACGAAAGAGAAUGUAUCCCUGGAACAAACAGGACAAUAGUCAAUCAGAAAAAUGCCAGUUUCUGCACAAAAAUCAACUGUAGAAUGGUUUUGGUUACUACUAUUAUGAUUUGCUUUAUUAGCUGCAAAUUGACAACUGUGUGUUGUUAAAUUGAGGUUGAAUGAGAAAAAUUUACCGAGUUCAUAGUCUAUAAAAAGCUGAGAGGUUCCCAGGUGCAGAAAAAGAAAAAAACGAAGGAAGUGUGAUAGGAUACCGAAGUAAAUCAAAGUAUUUUGUUGUCAGGGUGCCAUCAUGUCUACGAGGACUGAAAUUGUGAUCUGUGAUAGGAUGACUUUUGAGCUUUGACUGUAUAUGUCGUUUUCGGUGUUGGUGCCAGAAGUCUGUACACGACAGUAAUCCUCUCCUCCCUUCCUCUUGUUGGGGUCUCGACGUUCUUCUGCUGUAACUCUUUUCUGGCGUACUUGUCUUGGUGCAAAUAUAAUUCGGACUCGGCAAUCUCGAGAAAUGACUUCUCGGUUAUUUUAUCAAGGAAAUCAAUUGACACAGUAAAAUUGUUCUCACGUCAAAAAGAAAAGAAAAGGUAAUAUUGCUCUUGAUUUCUGAAAGCAGACUCCCCACCAUGUUGCGAAAGGUAAUAUUGCUCUUGAUUUCUGAAAGCGGACUCCCCACCAUGUUGCGAUUCUCUCCUCCCUUCUAUAUAUAUUAGAAGCACAGAUUACGACUUUCGAGUGCUUUGCUUAUUCAUGCUGUGCAUGUAUGAAUACCAACUGAGUUAAGUCCAAUGGCCUGCUUGAUCAGUGUUGUUUUAAUGAAUUAAUAUAAAAUCAUUUAUUAGCUUAAUGGUUUAGAUUUUUGAAUUAAAAAUAUUAUUUAACAUAAUAUUAAAAUUUUAAUAAUAAAAUAAUUACGAAUUAGAAUCUCAAAUAGUGGUGCGUGUGUAUAUAUAUAUUAUUAAUUUGAGUAUGGUUUGCUUGUUAAAAAACAUUUUUUUAUAAAACAUUUUUCUGACUUCAGUUUUCUAUAACAGAAAAAUAUAAGAUUUAAAGAGUGAAAAAUGUUUUCUAAUUCAAAAUAAUAAAAACCACUUUUACACGGAGAAAAACAACACUUUAUUAUUUAAAUAUAUAUCAACAUUAUAUAUUAAUAAAAUAAUUUUGAAAUAAAUAAUAUUAUUAGAAAAUAAUAAAAUAAUAAUAUAUAGUGUAAAUAAUACAUUAGGAUACAUCAAUAUAAAAUAUUUAUUAAAAGUUAUAUUAAUUUAAUAUAUCAGUGUAUAUAAUGUUUUACUUUAUAUAGUAUUGCUAAAAAACACAUUGAAAUAUACAUGUUAUGCUAUACAAUAAUCAUAUAAAAAAAAUAGAAUAUAAAAGAAAAUAUUUUCAAGAAUCAUCAAAUAGAAAAAAAAUGUUAUGGCACUAUUUUAGAAAUAGUACUAUUUAAAAAACAUUAUUGACUUGGAAACACUUAUUUUUCAACUUAGUUUAUUCCAUAAAAUAGUUUCAACUCAAUUUUUAUUAUACAAUCAAGCAUUAAAAAUAAUCUAUUUUCUUGAAAAUUACUUAUCAUGAAAUUCACUUUUCAAAAAAGAAUUUAUUUUCUGACAAACGAGGCCUUGAAUUACACGGUAAAGCUAUACAUUUUUUUAAAUGACAUUAAAGAAUAGUUUCUUUUGUUAAGCAUUGAGAUUAAAAUGAAAACAGUACUGUUAACAGUCAGUGUUACUCCAAAGCAAGGUAUUUGUUAGCACUAUUCCCCCUUGUUUUAUUGUCUGUUUGCCCCUCCCCGCAGAAAAUCCAUGCUACUUGUUAAAAAAAAAUUCGCUCCCCUGUUUUUUUUUUCUCCUCCCUCCGGUCUCUCUCCACCAGCAAUCACGUUGUCCCCUGUUUUUUUUUCUCCUUAUCACCAUGAUAUAACCAGAAAUUAAAAAAUAAUUUAUUUUCUCAAAAAUCACUUUUUAAAGAGUGAAACCAUUUUUAAAUUUUUGACAAUUAAAGGAUAAUUUAUUUUGUUUGUAACAAUUAUUGUUACUCCAAAGCAAGACAUUUGUCAGCACGAUUCUCCCUUGUUUCAGCUACAAUCCACGUAUUAAAUUCUCUAAAAGCCUUUUUUAAUAACGAGUAAAUUAUAAAUUAAUCCUUUUAGUUUUGCAAAAUGGAUUAAACAGUCCAUUUAGUUUGAGAAAUAAUUAAUUGAUUGAUUGAUUGAUCAGUGUUGAUGAUGUUUAAUUUAAUAUUUAUCUAUAAUCCAACAUAUAUCUUAUUUUCUCAUCAAUCUUUUUAUGCUAUUCUUUUUCCUUUUCUACUCCUCAACACCAAAAAAUAAAUUAAGAAAUAUAAUAAAAAGAGUAAAAAUUAUAAUUAUUAUAUAAACUAAAACACUUUAAAAAAAACUACAGUUUUUAAUGGUGUUUCACUACUCGUAUAAAUAAUAAAACACCUUUCUCUUUUUUAUUUUAUUUUUUUUAAUUUUAUAAUUUCUAAUAAAAUAUUUUUUUAUUCGAUCAAUCUUGUGACCUAAUUUUACGAGAUAAGGUUUAAAAUUAGAGUGGAGAGAUAAAAUUAAAAUAAAAAGGACCACAAUGUAAAAUAUAUAAAAAAUAUAUGACCAAUAUCAAAGUUUAUAAAAUUUUUAUUUUGAUUCAAAUAUUCAUUUUGUUUAGUUUUUAAUUCACGAUUGUAAGAUAAGAGGGGUAAAGUACAAGAAAACUGCAAUAAAAAAGAAAAAAUUAGUAAUUCAAUUUGAGGAGAGUGAAUAAUAAUGAUUUUUCCCUUUUUGAUUUAAAUAAAUAAUGUUCAUUUAAAUCCUUUUUGAUUUAGUUUAUAUUUACUUUUUAGAUUGAUUUUAAAAUGUUUUUGGAUUAGUAGGUGAUUUAUGAAGGUUUUAUCAUGUUUUCAUGUGAAAAUAAAUUGAUUUUUCAAGCCACCCGCCCCAUCCCCUGGUUUUAUGGACAAUAAUAACAGGUGACUUGCCACCCAAUUUUUUUUUUUAAAGAGAAAAAAUAAGUGGAUGACCCAUCAUCCACUCCUAAAAAGAAACAAGCAUGCCUAGAGUUAGAAGACUAAUUAAUUAUUUUAUUCUUCUAAGUUCUAACAUAAACAGCAUAUAUGCAAAACCAAAAUGUUUACGUUUUUAAUUAAAAAAAAACAUUAUAUUUUAAAAUGUAUGUACAUCACUAACACAAUUUUCCAUUACAUUCAUAAUUAAUUUGAUAUUUUACCCGUGAGUGAUAAAACUAAUUAUAACUAUAUUUUAAAAUAGAAGACCAAUUAAUUAUUUUUUAAAACUAAAAUAACUAUUUAAUUCAUUUUGCAAAAUUACAUGUACUAAUUUAUAAUUUACUCAAUAUUAAAUGGUUUAGAGCUGAAAAAAGAAAAGGCCCAAUAAAGGCCCAAAUACAGCAAACAACCAAGAUUCAAGGGCGCCAACAAGACAUUUCAAAACUUUAACGCUGCUCUCUCUCUUGCUCAGUUAGCUUUGGCUAGAACAGCGGAUGGAGUGCUGUUCCACUUUCUCAAUGUGACACAAACACAGGGCACUCAAAAAUUCCGAUGCUUCCUCCUCAUACUCAUGGACAGCACGCAUGCCCUAACCUAAUUCCUUCUAAUUAAAAUAUCUCCCCUCCAGAUAAGUAUCUUCGUUUUUGUCUUCUCCUCCCCAAACUGCUCCUCUCCUUGACGGAAAUGCCGUUGAGAUCCGGCCAUGGACAGGGAGGAUAACCUUCCUCUCCCAUCUCUACCUCCGCCAAAAAAUCUCGUUCGUCCGGUCACCAACGCCGCCGACACGACUUCAUCUUCGUCCUCGUUCUCUUCCUCCUCCCCGGACUUUCUCCGGCAUGUCCAAGCCGCCUUCAAGCGCCACCGCCCCCUCGGUACCACCACCCCUAUCUGUAACUUUUUGUACUUUCGAUCUCUCUAGAUCUCGCUUUUACUAAGAAGUUCUGAAAAUUAGGGUUUACAAUUUGGCACAUUCAUUCAUUUAUUUAUCUAUUGCUAUUUACUAUAAAAUGAAAUUAAGGCUUAAUCCAGGAAUGCUGAUUACUAUGUUCACGAUUGUGUUAAUUAAUUUGGAAUCAACUUCUUCAUCUUGAAGUCAAAUUCGAAGAUUUUUUUUUUAAUUUGUGACCAGAGUACUUUAAUUAUGACUUUUUGACAGUUAAAUUGUAAAUGUCGAAGUUCUAAGUGUUUGGCAUGCUCGUUUUAGGUAUAAUGCAAACGAAUAAUAGUAUAAAGCCUAGGCGUACGUUGAUUCCACAGCGUGAAGCAUCGAGAACCGUAGCUUCAAAUGUGGAUCCUACUACAGGGACGAAGAAGUCUCAAGAUGUUGUUCCUCUAAGUAAAGAUUCAAUUUUGCAAACAAAGAAUCCAGUUGCUGUUAUUAGGGAAACUCAUGAAGAUGCAUCUCCGUUUCCAGGAACCAUUACAAAGACGUUUGAUGAGAGUUUCAAUCCGUUUGAUGGACAGAGAGAGCAACCAGAAUCUGUUAUUGCUACUAAAGAGGAUAAUCAGGUGCCCCUGACAUGUGUAGAAUCUCAACUUGUUGAGGGUAAGAGAAAAGUCCAGUUUUUGACAGUGAACAAGGCCACUUCCCAGGGUAAUAUACUGCUCCUUGCUUUUUUGAGUGAUCGUUUGAAAGUUGGUUUUGUUGGAUUACUUGUUGUUUGUCAUCUAAUCUAAGAUGCCGUGGCAAAAGCUUCUAAGUUUUGUACUCUGGACAUAUAUAUAUGUACUGUUAUCUUCUAACUUGCAGGGGCCGAUGAUGGAAUGGCCACUGGAUUGGAGAACUUGUCUUCUCAUAUGGGUUCACUUGCAUUGACAGAAAUGGAAUGGGAUGUGAGCAAUCAAGUAGAGGUGUCAAAUGUGAUUAAUGAUGAAACGAAGCAGCAGAACUUUCAGAACAUGGAAUCAGAUGUCACUUCGAGAUCUGAUGGAGCUGUAACAUCACUGGCAAAGAGAGCAAUGGUUGUUCAGGAUCAGUUGCAUCAAUUGAGGAACUUCUUAAACCAACCAGCUACUCAAUCAUCUGUUGUUGGUCCAUCUUGUGCUACCACAACAUCUGUUCAUUCUACUUCGGCACCCAUGCUUAACUCAACGACUUAUUGCUCUCGUCUACAUACAGAGAGUGGUUCUCAAGCUGCUGUCGAACCUUUGAGGGAUUCUAAUGCAAAUUCUCAGCAUGUAACUCCAAGGAAUUUGGAGCAGCUGUCACAUCCUUUAUUGAAGGACACAAGUGCUAUGCUAAUUGACUUGAGAGCCACUGCAACCCAGCCUUCUACCUCUGCUAUUCAUUCGCAAUUUAAGGAGCUUGACCUGCCUAAGGAGCAAAAGGGAAGCAUGCCUGAGGCACAUGACAUUGCAAACAAUCCUUCUCUUGUUGAUAAGCCCGCUAAGGAGAGGGGACCCGCAGAUGAUGGUACUGAUGUCCAAUCUCAGCGUCCAAUGUCCAGAAACCCAUCUUCAAAUGUGAAGUUGGAGCCUUCUAAACCAGAAAACAAAGAAAAGGUUGCAAGCAGUAAAGGCACAUCAGUACCUCGGAAAAGGAGUUAUGAUCCAGAUUUGUUCUUUAAAGUUAAUGGGAAGCUCUAUCAAAGGCUUGGUAAGAUAGGAAGUGGAGGAAGUAGUGAGGUUCACAAAGUCAUUUCCUCAGACUGUACAAUCUAUGCACUCAAGAAAAUCAAGCUCAAGGGUCGUGAUUAUGGAACUGCAUAUGGUUUUUGCCAGGAAAUUCUAUAUCUAAACAAAUUAAAGGGGAAGAACAACAUUAUACAGUUAAUAGAUUAUGAGGUACUCACUUGCAUCCUUAAAAGAAUCAUGCUCUAAAUGAUAUGAUUUAACUGGGGCAAUCAUGUUUGCAAUUUACUAAAACUCUAUACCUUGUGGUUGUACAUAUGUGCUUCGAGAUAACAUUAUAGAAGACGAUAAAUCUUCUGUGCCAGAAGAAUAGGUCUUUUAUAUUGAUGUUCUUUUUUCUUCUCAUCAGAAUCCAUAUCUUAAAGGCUUGACAUCUAUUCUUGAUUUAUUCAUCUACUAGAUCUCUAACACUUUCUUUUGGAAUUAGGUGACAGAUAAAGCUUUGCUCCAUGAAGUCAUGAGUAGCUCCAUAAGUAAUAAAGAUGGAAGAGUUAAGGAUGAUGGGUGCAUAUACAUGGUCCUUGAAUACGGGGAAAUUGAUUUGGCUCACAUGCUGGCCCAGAAAUGGAAGGAGAUGGAUAGCUCCAACCAGACGAUAGAUGAGAAUUGGCUUAGAUUUUACUGGCAGGUCCUCGGGCUUCACCUGGCCUUGCAUCAUAGUUGCAGUUUAAUUUAUAUUAACACUCUAUAGCUAUUUCUAAUAUUACAGAUUGAUAGCUAUAGCUACUAAUUCAGAUGUCAGUUUUUAAUGCUAGAAUGAAGUCAUUUUGAACAGUGGGGAGCAUUUUGUCUUUGUUUAAAGGAAGCACUGUAAUCAUGCUCCUGUUUUCAUUAUUGGGACUUUGUCUGCAUCACGGGGUGGAUAAGUUUCUAAUGUGGCAUGAUGUUGAUUAUUGACAUUUUUUCAUUUUCCAUUUUCAAUCUCUCUCAUAGUUUGUAUGGAAGGGGAUUUGGCAUGGAUGAGGAAACACACUUGUUUAUAUGAGCAAUGCAACAUUGUCUUCAUAUGAUACUAACAAAUAGCAAAUUUACAUCAUCUUGAAAACACACAGAAUUUGUUGGUCUAAGGCAUAUUUUUUUGUUUUAUUCAUUGUUAUUUGAAUGGCAGUGCAGAUUAACAUUGUUUUGUUCAAAUAUUUUGCAGCAAAUACUUCAAGCUGUCAAUACCAUUCACGAGGAACGUAUUGUGCACUCUGACCUGAAGCCAGCAAAUUUUCUUCUUGUCAAAGGUUCUCUGAAGUUGAUUGAUUUUGGUAUCGCCAAAGCCAUAAUGAGUGAUACCACUAAUAUUCAAAGGGAUUCACAGGUAGACUUGGUUUUCCAAACUAUUAUUAGAUUUAGAAGUAUGAUUGCAUCAGAAUGCAGAUUCCACCUUGUAUGUGUCCUUCUGUUGAUUGACCACAUGUUGCCACUAAGAACACGCCCUUCUUUUGUUCUGUGUAUUUUUGGAUGAAGAGGAUUGCUUAAUUGUCAAUUUAGCUUAUUUAAGAGGUUCUUUAGUUAGUAUUAUUUUGCUUAGUGGUUCAUAUUCUGUUUCUGCAGGUAGGUACCCUGAGCUACAUGUCUCCAGAGGCAUUCAUGUGCAAUGAGAGUGAUGCGAAUGGAAACACCAUAAAGUGUGGUCGACCAUCAGAUAUUUGGUCCCUUGGCUGUAUCCUUUACCAAAUGGUGUAUGGAAGAACCCCCUUUUCUGAGUUCAAGACUUUUUGGGCCAAGUUCAAAGUUAUAACAGAUCCAAACCAUGAGAUAACUUAUGAGCCAGUUUCCAACCCAUGGCUUCUUGAUCUUAUGAAAAAAUGCUUGGCUUGGGACCGGAACGAGAGGUGGAGAAUCCCUCAAUUACUUCAACACCCUUUUCUUGUUCCACCAGUACCAACUCAACCAUCAGUAUCUCAGAAACAAGGUUGUAAGCUGCUUCAACUUGUCUCAGAAACUUGUAGCGGUGACCAAGAAGCUUCUGUGCUAUGCCGUGAGCUCCAACAAUUGCUUAACCCAGGUACUCUCACACCUGAGUCAUCAACAUCGCGAGACCAACAAUGUAAGUUGCUCUCGCAGAUGUCUAAGCUUUGUUUUCAGCUCCGGGAGUGUUUAGCAAAGUUAGAGAGAGGAUAGGAAUGGUUUCAGGUAGUCAACUCUGGGAAGGUCUUCUUCUCGUUUGGGAAUAUGAGAAAUCUUGUCCGUCCACUGUAAGGUGUACACAUCCCUGUUGUUUAAUUAUGCCUUCAAACAGAAGAAUUGAACUCCAAUUCUUUACUUGUAUGCAUCUCCUUUUUGAAAGCGCGCAGCGCGACAAAGGAUGUGUAAUCUUUCACUUGCUUUGCGCAACUUCUAUGUAAGAUAGCACAGUACUGACAUGAUUUUCUACUUAACUGUAAUAGCUAUUUGUCAUGGAUCUUCUGAGAAAAUUUUCAGCACAUUGUCUAGGGAAGCAAGUAACGAUAAAUAAUAAUAAAAAUAACAAAAACAACCCCUGGUGGCGGAAAACCUAAAUUAACUCCUGUGUGGUAACUUCAGAAUUUUUCCCGAAAAUGAUUUUUUUUUCCUCACUGGUAUUGUUUAGAAUACUUUGGCUCAUGCAAAUGCGAGUUCCUGGAAUGGUAGGGUACUUGUAUCAUACUCGAUGUGAGAAGAAAAACUGCCUGCUCCCACGAUUUUGUUUUUUUCCAAACUAUAGUGGCGUGAGCAAUUUGUACGGGUUUGCCGGGGUUCCCUUGUGCCAGUGAAUUUUUGCGUCCUACUAUUGAUUGAUUAUGGAAGGCAGUAGAAAAGGAACGAAGCCGGUUGUGAGCUCCAUGAUUGAUUACCUCCUAUGACUGUAUUAACUGAAUGCUUCCAUUAAGGAAGUUGACGAGGGCAAAUCGUAUCAAACGAAUGACAGAGUAAUUACCAUCUCCUUUUGCAAAUUUCUACAAAGGUAGAGUCUAACCAUCAAACGAAUAGAAGGCGCGACAGACUUUCGCUUAUCCUUCUCAAGCAGGGAGAGAGACAGCGAUGCAACUUCCAGUCUGAUUUCUGAAGAUCAUACACAAACACAAUUAUUCACUCCUCAAUUUUUCCAUUUUUUUGAAAGAAAAAAUAAUAGCCGCGCUUGUAUCUGGUAGUCGAGUAGAAUUGUAAAUAUUUUAGACUGGAGAGUGUAGACGAUUCCAGUAUUAUUUUAAAUUUAAAUAUUUAGUCUCACCUUCCCUUCCGUUCCUCCAAUUUUCACAUUCGCAAAAAAUGCCCUAAAAUAUUGGGCUAUGUAAUUUCUUUUGUCAUAAAAUACCUCUCCGCCGUUCCUUCUGCGAAUAACGUAUCGCUUUUAUAAUCCAACGGCUCCAAAACGUCAGUGACAACAAACUUUAAGCACCUGCUGUUCCUAUAACACGUGUUGUGUUCUCCGCAAACUAAACUUCUAACUCCGUAGAGAAAGAGGUUUUUUACGACUUGAAUUGGACCCCAAGGGAGCGGAAUCUAGCUAAUGCCAGAAAAACUUCUCUCGCGCUUCUCUCGCGCUUCAUUCACGCUUCCUCACCUGCGUUUUCUCUCUCCACAAUCUUCUCUCUCGCUCCGCUCUCUACAUAACUUCAUUGCUCCUACAAGCCAGAAAAGCCCAUUCACUCUAUCUCGAUCAGUUGCAGCCGCUACAGGUGCGUGUCAGAUGCCUUUACCUUUCUUGACAACUGGAAAUGCUUUUAAAUCUUGAUUUGUUGCUGCUGCUGUUGUUUUGGUUCAGCAAUGGAUAGCAGCAGCAGCACGCCUUGUAAGCUGGUAUUAUGCGGAAAAUCAUCUGCAGAGAAUGAAAUUGCUAAAUCAUUAAUGAAUAAUAACACUCUUAAACUGCCUGAUAAUGUGCAAGUCUCUACUCUCUUGCACUCGGAGAUUAUUAAUAAGCAGCAGCGGCAAGACGAAGAGUCUUUCUGUAUUGAACGGUUUAUGAAUUCUCUUUCAACUAAUCAAUUCGGUAGAUUACUCAUCUGGUCGCCGAUAUUGCCUUCAACUCAUGAUGUUGUUUCCAAGUAAGAAUCUCCAAUUUCAAUUUUCCGAUUUUUUUCGUGUGUAUAAUAAAUUCAGAUGCUUAAUUUUCUUCUUCUUUUUGACAGUAAUUUUGGUGAGCUUCCAAUUGGUACUGUUUGCGUUGCUGAUGUUCAAUAUAAAGGGCGAGGUUUGUGAUAUAAAUUUCGUGCUGUGAUUUCGGAUUUCCAAUGAUCAAUAGUUAUAACUUUGUAUGUUUGAUUGUGCAGGUCGAUCAAAGAAUGUAUGGGAAUCUCCAGCAGGUUGCCUGAUGUUUUCAUUUACCAUUCAAAUGGAGGAUGGACGAGUUGUGCCUUUGUUGCAAUAUGUAGUGUCUCUUGCUGUUACAGAGGCAAUAAAGGAUGUUUGCGACAAAAAUGUUGGUUUUUUUUUCCCUUCUUAAUUGAAGGGUGUUGCCAGUCAUUAACUAGUUAUAACCUUGCUCUUUCUUAUUUGAUAACUAAAUAUCGCUUACUUGGUGAUGUUUACUUGACAAGAGAACAUAAUGACUUAAACAAGUAAAUUAGUCAAGUUGCAUUCAGAGUAUGUGAUCUUAGAGAACGAAGUGCUAGUAACUCAUUACGUUGGUGUGUGAAAAACAUAAGUUUUUUAAGAAUUUUCACCUGAUAGUGUCUGAUUGAAAGGUGGCUUGUGGCUGCUUUACCCAUCAAUGCCAUGCAUGAUUGUUUUAUUGCAAUUUUUCAGCCAGCCAGUAUGUGAGUUUGAGGUUUGAUUCACUCAUUUGGGAGUAUAUGAUUUAUUUCAGGGCUUACCGCGUAUUGAUGUUAGAAUCAAAUGGCCAAAUGAUCUUUAUUUGAAUGGUCUUAAAGUUGGAGGCAUUCUCUCCACCUCAACAUAUAAAUCAAAGAAGUUCAAUGUCAGUACCGGUAAAUAUAAUUCUUUUUCUGUGAUCUGCAAUUGUUUUCUGAUGUUCACACUUCCAUAUUGCUAACUGGCUACUUUGUUUAUUCUUUAUCACUUGUUCUCUAUAAUCCAAAUCAUAGAGAAGGUUGGUUCUAAGUUUGCAUGUAUGAUACAAAUAAUAUAGUAUCACAAUCUUGCAGGUAUAGGCUUGAAUGUCGAUAAUGAGAAACCAACAACAUGCUUGAAUGCAGUCUUAAGAGAAUUGUCUGCUGCUGCAUGCACAUUAAGAAGAGAAGAUAUUGUUGCAGCCUUUCUAAAUAAAUUUGAAAAUUUUUAUGAUCUUUUCAUAAAUGGAGGUGAGCCAAUACUUUUUGAAAAGUCAUAUCCAUCAUCAAUAUGUCAUCUCAUUUAUCAAUCAUUCUGUAGAAAUGUCAUCCAGACAUGCCAACCUUCUUUGGUUUUAUCAUGUCGAAAGUUGAAGCUAUCAUUUUCUUGUAGCAAUUAACUGAGUUUAUUUCCAGAUAAAUUCAUUUGAUAAGGGCCCAUACUUGAAAUGUUUCCUUAGAAAUCCUGCUAGGUUAAAAGGCAUGUAUGUCUAUGCAUGAUUAUUCCAGUUGUUUCUUGAAGGUAUGCUUGCCACGUAACAUCAUAAAAGGAAGAGAAACAACACCUUGGUAACUUAAAUUUAAGGAUUAUUGGAUAUAGGAUGAAAAAAAGAAGAAGCUAUCCUGGAAAUUUUAAUAUCUGUUAGUCAAACUUUUGAGGAGAUAGAACUUCGUUACAGAAGCUCAAAUGAUUGUUUUUGAGAUUUAUUUAUAGCUUCAUGGCUUCAUCCCCUCCCUCCCAUUGCAUUUGUGGAAUAGAUUUUUAUUUUAGCUCUAUGGUUAUCUUUUUUAUUCUUCCCCUUGGAUACUUGCAGACUAGUGUGCUUGGUUUUUGCUGCUUUUAAUUCUUGUAUUACUUACAUAUUGUGGGAUUUAGGGGUUUGCUUCAAAUUUCUUCCAGAUAUUUGUUUGUUGUCCCCUAGCCUGGUAAAGCACCAGCUGGAAUUGGCUUUAUUCAGAAAUCAGAAAGCAUUGCAAUGAGCUAUUCUUAUUAAGUUCUCUAAGAUAGAUUGAGGGUGCUGAUUUGAUACUUUUCAACCAGUCACGGAAUGCACAUGCUAAUUCUUAACCAACUGCUUCAUGUAGUUCUGCUUGAAUCAGCUCGAGGGAUUUUAGAAUGGUAGGAUAAUGGAUUGAAUUUAUAUGGUUUAUUAACAUGAAUGGUGAAGUUUGAUAGCAAAAGGGUGAAGAUUUGAUGGCUUUUUUUUUUGGAUCCCCAGACUCUACUCAUUUGUCCCUGGUUAAUCAUAUAUGGAAGGGCUAGAUACACUCUAAGGUUAAGUUUUUUGUUUGGUUAGUUCUCAAAAACAUAAAUUCCAAUGACUUGUUACAAGUUACUAAUUGUGUUGAUGUUGUUUCCUUCUCUCUUUUCAUAGCUGCAUCAGAAAAUUCUUUAGAAAUAGCAGUUUGUUUCUAGUGACUUUUUUCAUUUCUCUUGUCAAACUAAUUGUAUUACUUAUGAUAAUAAUAAUAACAAUAAUGCCACGUUCAUUCUUUCUGUGUUUUUUUUUCUUUUGGCAUGUCAUCCAGGAUUUCGAACUCUUGAGGAGCUUUACUAUAAAACAUGGCUACACAGGUAAGACAUGCUUUUUUAUCACUCUCCAGCGUUUUAACAUGAUUCCCUCUUUGUUAUGUUAAUGAUUUCCUUUUCUGGGUGUGAUUGUUUACUUUAUCUAAUGUAAGGGGCACUGGAAAUGUUUAUAAUUGGUUAAGGUAGAUGUUCAUUCAAAUCAAAGAUGUUUUACCGGUUUCUCAUUUCAUCACUUCCUCUGAAAUUUUAUGUCCAUACAAGUUUUGAAGGAGAUAAUCUCCAAGAUACAUAGCAAAGGAGGUCCAUCAUCUCCUGUUAUUUCUAUUGCCAUGAAAUGUAUUGAGGUCCAUAGAAGUUUUAGAUUACUUUUUUAAUGAAUUCCUGCACCUGAGAAUGGUGCUUGGCAACCUGAAAACAAUUUGACUGAAAUUAAAAGGGAAAAAAAUCACAUUCUAGUUGCCAUAUGGAAAAAGAAUAUGGUUUCACACACUUUGCUUCAGCUAGGAUGAUGUGGUGUUCAAACCAAUGAAUCAUCUGUUAUCUUCUCAGUAAUGUCCCUGUUUCAGCUGCUCACAUUAUCAUUGGCCUUUGGAUGUGUUGACCGUACAAGUGUACCUGGUUAAUUUCCACAAAUCUUUCUGUCAACGAUUUUCUCAUCCCCUACUCAAUAUUCUCACGUGUUUUGAUUCCCAAUUCGUUUUUUUUUUUGGUUUUUACUUUUUACACAUCACCAGAUUUCUAUUCGCUCUGCUUUAAAAAUUCCUCAUAUUGAGCUAGAUAACUGCUCAACUUUCUGUGCUAUAAGACAGCUGAUCUGACAUGUUUAAACUGUUUAGACAAGCAUGUUUCAGCGAUUUGUUUUCUGGGAACACCUUUCACUAAUUUGCAAAAUUUUAAUUUUUUUUCAUAUGCUUCUAUAAUUGGAACUUCAGAGGCUAUCUCUGUUAUCUUGGACCAUAGUUAUGUUCUUUAUCCUGUACUAAACUCUUGAAUUCAAUUAUCAUAAUCUGCAAUACAUUUGUCAUCUUUUGCAUGUAUAGUUAUGAUUUUGUUUUGAGAUGUUCAUGUAGUGGGCAGAGAGUUAUCAUCCAGGAGAAGAACGAGAACCAAGUAGUGGAGAACGUGGUCACCAUUCAGGUAUGACCAUUGAUAUGGUUCCUAGAUAGCAUGCUACCUUGCAAUUUGAAUCCACUCUUUUCUCCUAUGGAGAUCUGAGGAACAGUUUUAUUCUGUUACACAUUACAAACUGAAGAUCCAUAUUUGAUUUUGUAAUUUCAGUUUCAAUGUUGAAGUUUGGAAAAAAUUAGUUACUUAAGCCUCUUGAUAUGACAAACCUGUUAUAUGAUAUUCUGCAAAAUAAGGUGCCAUUGCAUUUUGCAAUGGUGCUAAAUAAGUGGAAGUGUCAUGUUCCUUGUGCCAGAGCCUAAGAUUUAGCUGAUUGUUUUAUUUACAGGGUUUGACAUCCUCGGGUUAUUUGCUAGCUAUCGGUGAAGACAAUCAAAUGUGUGAACUUCAUCCUGAUGGCAAUAGGUAGAUUGGCUUUACCUUUCCAGAUAUAUAUUGUUGUUUAGGAUAUUCUACACUUGUUCCAAGUUGAAUUUGAAGAGAAUUUAUGAGUUUGUGUGUUGCUGGGUUGUGCAUGAGUAGUACUUAUUCAACAAAAUCAUCGUGCAUAAGUCCUUCUUUGCUUUGAAGUUUUCUACAAGUGACUGAGGAGCUGUAUAAAAUUCCAAGAGGCAAUGUGAUAAGCAAACAUAGUGCUAGGUCUGUGAAGAUUUUUAGAUAUCCGAUGAUUUCAUUUCUUCAAGUUUGCUCUCUAGUUAAGGCUAUUAAGUUCAAUUUCGCAACAAGCUUAUGUUUCUUUCAUUCAAGUUCGUGUGGUAAAAAGAGAGAGAUAAAAGGGUAUGUGUGCAUGUGUGAAUAUUUGCCUCCUUAUUUCUCCUCCAAUAAGAUUUAGGGUGCCUUUGGCACUAUGGACGAAACGUUUGUGGCUGCAGCCUCAUCGUUAGCUUUCUCAUUACUUUCCAGUCAUCAGCAUAUCAAAACCACUUUUACCAUGUCUUUAGGUAGCUGUACGAGGAAAUGAUGUGUUGAUGUAUCCUAUUUUCUAAUACAAGGAUUACAUGGACCCAUGUGCAUAGUGUCCUCUAUGUAACUUUUCUCAACCCAGAUGUCUCGAGCCCUUGGCUUGGUUCCUGUUUUAAUGGGCCGUUAACAACUUUCCGUGUUUCUAAAUUUUCCUUUCAUCAAAUAAAAAACAGUUAGAAACCCCUGUGCUACUAAGUGUUACUAUCUGCUAUUAUCUGAAAUAUGCUGAGACUGGUAUCGUAUAGUUUUACAUUCCAGAUGAUUUGGUUCCAUACAGAGAACUUUCCUCAUUAUCCUCCUAAGAUAAGUAAUCACGUUAUUUGUUCUCAUUGGCUACAGUUUUGACUUCUUCAAAGGACUAGUCAGAAGAAAACUUGAAUAAAGAAGAUUCCCUAGCAUCUUCCACUGGAGGCAAAAGUCAUGUCGGAACAGCUGCGCAACUGGAGAUGUUUUACGAGCUGUAUUUCUUAUUUUCGUUUAAUUAAAUCACCCUGCCCAUAUUUAUCUUCAAGUUGCUUUGUUUAAAUGAGAUAUUGACAAAACUUACACAGGUCUUUCUUUAGUUCUUUUUUUCCUUGCAAGUGCAAAUCUUUAUUUACUUAUGAAUUAGGUCAGAUUCCUUCACCCAAUAUAUAUAAUUAAGGUCAGGUCAUCUAAAUUACGAACAUUGUACAGCGUAUUGUACAUUUGCAAACCGAGAUCACAUACUUUUUUAAGCUGUUUGUUACUUUGCGGAGAGCAGAUGUAGAUCUCUAGCAAUAAUCAAUCAUUUGUUAGAAAUUUGGUCGCUUUUGUGCCAGCUGUGGAACGAUACCAAAGAACAAAUCCAUAAUUGAUUUGGUCUUGUGGUUCUUUGAUUAUAUUCUUUGUUCAAAAGGCCAUAUUGAAAGAUGUGUUUGCUUUAGUUUUGUUAGCUGGAUCCUUCCACCCAUUAUCAACCAGGUGUCAGACUAAUAUGGCUGUCAUUGUUUUUCUACUUUAUUUAUCACUCUUGAUUUGUUGAAAACAUGCAGGGCAAAGAUUUUUCUUCCAGGCCGAUGAUCACUCAUCAGGACAUACCUUGACUGGUGUGCAGUCUAAACCUCAGACACUGGUACGCCCUAUGAUUGAGGGGAAUCUGUGUUAUUCUCCGCCCUUUUCUCUCUCUGCAUUUUAUUUUGGGAAGGAAAAGAAAAGGACCCUCCACCCCCUUAAACACCAGCUUCUGCAUAAAACAAAAUUUUCAAACUUGAUAUGUAUUAUUGGGGCGGCCGUAACCCGUUAUCGGGGUCCAUGUGGCAGACAUUGUCUUCAUUGCUGUGUGUCAAUAUGGAUUUAUGUUGAGGUGUAGUCUUCUUCAAAAGGCUGCAAAAGAGCAAGUAAGAUAAAGUUCAUUCGUUCUACUUCGUUGUCGUCUAUAAAAGAUUCUGGGUUCCGUUUCGAAGUUUGAAGGUCCCCUCGUAUAUCAAAAGAGCGCCAAGUUGCAGCUUUUGUCCAUCUUUUGCAUGUCUUGCAUGAGAUGUUUGUAGAUUGUCGACGCAUUAGGAAAACCCACUCGUUGUUGCUUAAAAUUUGGUGCGGAUGCUGUGUUUAUGUAUGCUGGUUGUUGCUUGUAGCGGAGGUAUAAGAAUGUUUUGUGAUUCUCAAUCCUUUGCUUGCUGGCGGAGAAGCAAUUCAUGGAUUAGAUCCAAAAACAAAACGUCUUUUUUAACAUUUGUUGUGUCCCAAUUGGUUAACUUGGCUUUUCUUGCUGAAAAUGACCUAUCCGGUGUUAUUAGAUGUGUUAGCACCUUCUAAGAGGAUGAUUGAAAUGGAGGGUGGCUUUUUGCAUUUGACCACGAGUGGUGAUAAAAUUCGACUCUCGAUGAAAGUUCAAUCAUUUGUUUUUUUUUUUUUUUUGAAAAUUGGACGUUACACUGUAGACUGAGAAGGACAAAAGAAAAAACUGGAUGUUACAAGCGUGGAGUACUGUUACUUCAGCCAGCCUUUUCUUUCCUUUUUCUAAAUUGGCUCAUCGAGCAAGAAAAAUACCAAAUCACCAAUUUCCUUGUACGUCUUUCUGACUUGGUUAUUUUACCAGGCACAUGGCUUUGGUGGCGAAUUUGACAUGAAAGAUCAAACAAACACGAAAUGUCAAAAGUAAUUAUGCCUUUAAAUGCAGAAUGGAUGGGUUAUAUUCACCCUCCUUGAGGUUGUAACAGCAUUAUUCGUUCCCCUUUUAAAACUGUAUUGGUUUUUUUUUUUUUUUAAGUAAUGUAGAUAUUCAGGUCAGCUCGUGUAUAUUUCAAUUAAUUUCACGAAUCUAAAAUGAAAUGAUAAAUCAAACAAACUCUAGAGUAACAUGAUCAAUCAAACAAUUUUUGUCAAGCCAGUAGCCCUGCCAGGAUUAAUGAUCAACGUGAUGCUUUGUACAGGACAACAACAAAAUGAAAUCUUCAUCAAUUUCGAACAUCCUUUGAAGGGAAGCAUAACAACUGUGUUUAGCCCUCUUCGGUCCGUGAGGCGUUCUUGGGAAGCAAGUCUGAAGGUCGAGCUAACUAGCUUAAGGCUGGUUAUUAACUAAUUCCUACAAAAGGAUUCGCCAAUCAUUUUCAAAUCUUAAUGGCUCGGAAUCGGUAAUAUAUAUGCUGAUUCCCGUAUUCCAGUGUUCAGACUCCACAUUCUCUUAUGAUAAAAGCUCUUAAAUGUCAAAGGGACAUGAAUAGAGAUGGAGAUAGAGGCAAGUUCAAGUUCACAUUGUAAUAAUGUUCGGUGGGUUCAUUAUGCUUCGAGACCUAGUUGUGGAGGGGGAAAAGAAUAGGAUCAGUCUAGUAGACCUUGAGCAUAAUCACAUGGCCAGCAGGCAUGGUGGACCAGGGUGAAUCAAAUAAAAUGAGGUUAAUACAUGGAACUGGGAUGUGGAGAGAAUAAAAUUGCUGAAAGAUGGAGUUGAAGAGAAAUUUCUCAAAUUCCUUUCUCAUCUACAGGUAGAGUACUUAAAACAACAGUAACUUGAUUUUUAGUAGCAAUUUGUAGCUUUUAUUCUAUGCUAUCGUGUCAAGCCACUGACCUACCGUGUGCAAUUACAAUUUGCAUGUCUAUUACUAUAAGCCAUCGUCGUCGAAGAGUGAUACUGCACAAGUUUUUUUGUUUUUCUGUUUUCGAACGACCCAACAUUGAGACUUUGAAUUUAACUUCGAUGCUAUAUUUGCUGGUUUCAAAGGUUGGUUUCUUGAUUUGAUUUUAUAAGGUAGAUUAAUUUAGGAAAUGUAGCUUAAAGAUAUUUUAAAAUAAAUCUAAUUUUAAUUAAUACAUAAAUUGAUUUGAAGAUAUGUAUAUAUAUCGUAUCAUCGAGUGCCCAGACACGUAUAUUAACGAGUCAUGUUGACAAAGGCGAAAAUAGAUAUGGUAGAAAGCAGGCGAUUUUGUAGUUCUUUCUCCCAACGGUAUUAACUUUAUUGUGGUGAAAUCUUACGACUUUUUUCCCUCCCGAAUAUAUAGAAAACAUGCAUGACCCAAUUAUUAACCCUAUACUUUAGAGUUUGAUAACGAUUAACGAAGAAAAUAAUGAUCACCUCUCUCGCUCCCCGUAUCAUAAUGGUUAUGCGUGCUUGCCCGCAUGCAAAGAUUUAUUUGAUUUGAUUCUAGCUAGGAAUGAAUAAUUGGCCUCUCGGCGAAGAUGAGUCAAAAAAGUUGGCACCAGCUACUCCAAUCCAAAGUGGAUGGGUCCAUUCAUGUCGUCUAUAAUUCUAUUCAAACUCAGGCUAUCUUCUGCUCUUGUAUUGGGUGAAAUCUAUCGCCUUCUCCCUUGUAUUCUUAUGGCAUCUGUCACCAUUUUUUGUUCUUUAGUAUUGUUAUGAUUAUGUGCUUUUUGAUGGAACUACUUGCAAUGCUGAGUGCGUGCAGCAUCUCCUCUACAGUAAUCUUAGGCGUUACUCUGGGGAACUGUAUCUGCUCCGUUCUCCUGAUAUGAAAUGAAGCUUGCUUUUCUGCUGAACGAGAAAGUACAAAUUUCCCCGUUUCUGAAUUUUAAUUGAAAAUUACAUGCAGGUUCUUAAACGGCGCUGGCAGAUCAGAACGUUGCUUUGGACGCGUUAUGCGUCUUCAUUAUACGUGUACAGUUCCGAUUUUCCCCGAGACAAACCGACGUGGAUUUCAUUGACCUGUGCAGUAAGUUCUAGGUGAAGAGUCUUUGCGUUGUCCCGUUGUGAACUUUCACUUUUGCUCUUUUUUUUUUUUAACUUUAUUAGUUGUUGUUCUAGUGAAUUUCGAUGUUAUCAUUGCCAAAAGAUAGAUAAUAUGCUUUGACCACCGUGCGAGCCAAAUCCCUAUUUUUGGUCUGCUUUCUGUGGCACUAUUGCCUUUCACGUGUACCUUCUAAUCCAGCACAGGUAAAAGAUUAUCACAAACCACGCACUGUACACAAAAGAUAGAUAGUAGUUAUUUUUUUAAGUUUUUUUUAAAUAUAUUAAAAUAAUUUUUUAUUUUUUUAAAUUUACUUUUAAUAUCAACAUAUCAAAACAAUAUAGAAACAUUAAAAAUAUUAAUUUUAAAUAAAAAUAUUUAAUUUCUUUGAAAACAACAUCUCUGUCGCAAAAACAAACAAAAUAUAAGAGUUUGUUUAGUAUUGUGGUAGCGGUUACUUUAUAAAGUAUUUAUCAUUUAAAAAUCAUUAAAAUAAUAUAUUUUUUAUUUUAAAAAAUUACUAUUAAUAUUAAUAUAUUAAAAUAAUCUAAAAAUAACAAAAAAAAAAAAUUAGAACACUUAUCCACAAAGUAAACAAACAAACUGCGCCUAAAUUUAUCUUUAGAUUCUCUUUGCUAUCCUCGAUGAAGUAUUCCAUUGUUUUGAAACAAUCAAAAAUCUGAUUUUGUAAUCAAACCAGUAGGGGUAACUUUAUGUUAAAAAAUAAUAUAAAAUUAUUCUUUAAAUUUUAUUUGAUAAUUUAAAUUUUUGUGUUUAUCAUGUCCUUGAAAAUUUAAUGAUCAGAUUAUUCGAUGGCGAUGUAUUGAGCAUGUAAAAAAUUAUUAAGAGAUAAAAUAUUUAGCAUAAUUUAAAUAUAAUUAUAACCAAUAACUAAUCUCAUUAAAAAUUAAAUCUUAUUAUAAAAAUAAAAAUUAUAUAUUGACGAGUUUCAAGAAGUGAAGUGCAAAAACUAAGAGAUUUUUUAUUGUCAAAUUCUCUGAGUUUGUUUGGCCUAUACUGUAUGUAUGUUUUUUUUUUUUAACAUGGAUGUCCGGGUCAGCUUGCACGUAUCUCGAUUAAUCACACGAGCUCUAAAAUUAACGACCAUGUAAACCUUCAAUGAUCAUCAUAUUAGCAAUCACAUGGCUCGAACUUGAGACCACAUGAGAAGCAAACUUCUUGAUCACAAAUUUUUAUCAUUGAACCACCUACAUAUGGUUACUGUAUACAUGUUUUGUUUGACGUGUUUGUUGUGAUGUGAGAUUGAAAAUAUUUGUGUUAUACAUUGAGCAAAAUAACUUCAUCUUUCUAACAAUAUAUUAACGUGUUGUUUAAAUUAAAGUAAUUAUUAAGGAUAUUACUCAAAUUAAUAUUUUAAAAACUAAAUAAAUUAUUUAAGAAUUGAAUUUUUUAACACGCAAAUAUCAUUUAAAAAAAAUUCAAGCAUAAAAGAAUCAAUGAUCAAAAUAUUACGUUGUUUUUAAGCUAAAAGAGCUCCUAAAAAAAUUAAUUAAUAUUUAUACAAAAUGAGAGUUGAUAUACUUAAAAUAAAAUAAUUAAGGCAAGUUAACUUUCAAACAUUUAAAAUUAUUAACUAUGUAAUUAGAUACUAGUUAAUUGCUAUGUAUAGAACAAAAGUUACCAAGGUUAGUUAAAUUUAAAAUAUUUAAGAUUAUUUUUUAAAAUAAAAUAAACAGUUUUUUUAAUCCUAAAAAACACCAUUUUCAAUGAUUUUUAAAGUGUAGGCUAUUAUACUUGUAGCAUGUUUUCUUAUAAAAAUCAUCUUUUAAUUUCAAAAAUUAAAUAACUUAUUUAUAAAGUCUUCACCAAAUAUUUUUUUUAUGUAUUUUAUUUCAAGGUUAAACAAUAAAGUUAGCAAACUAGGAAACCAAAUACGCUCGAAACCUCCUCUCACUAAAUAACAAAAAAUUUAUAGUGCUCGGAGAGUAAUUAUUGUUAUCUUAUUAGUUAUUCUCUUUAUCUAUCUUAAAGAAAGAGAUAGACAUAAAAAGAGAGAGAAAAAGUAAAAUUCACGACUCAUUAAAAGUAAGAAGAAUAUCUCCACCAAGAAUUUAUUUCUUCUAAUUAUAUCUAUUUUUUCUUUAAAAUGGAUCUAAAAAAUAAUUAACAUGGUACUAUUAAUUAUUUCUUGAAAACCAUAAAGAAGCAGAGGUUAUAGAUUUUUUUAAUUAUUCUUUUCAAAUACAUAACGCAUCAUCUUAUAAAGUUGCAAUAAUUCAACGAGACGCAUAGCCCGUUUGUUUUUUAGUUUCAAAAGUAUUUUUUUAAAAAAAUUAAUUUAAUUUUUUUUAAUUCAAAUUAAUUGUUUUGGUGUUUUUCAAUUGUUUUAAUAUACUAAUAUUAAAAAAAAACAAAUAUUAUUUCAAUAUAUUUUAUAACUAAAAAUUAUUUUUUAAAAAAUCAUUACUGCAGUAUCAAGUUUCUCGUAAAAUCUCAUCCAAAUUCCAAACCACACCCCCGUAAAGUCAACAACGCGAGGAAACCAACGUUUCAUGUUUUAUAUCUAAAGACGUGUGAUUACUUGAUUCCAAAAAUAAUCACAUCUUAUAUGUCCAUUCAAGAAUCCACGAGCGGUCCUACGAAGACCCGAGCGUGAUGAUCAUCUUAGUUUCCACUUCCCUCUAUAAAUGCCUAGCUAGGCUAAAAAAGCGAACGGCGAAUGAUCUGCUUCAGUAAUUUGGUAGGUUGUGAUAUUGUGUUGAAAAAGGAUAGAAACCAUGAGAGCAUCUCCAACACAUGAGGUAAAAGAAAAGCCAAUGUAAAAAAAAAAAAAACUGUAUUUUUAGCUUUAUUUAUUUAUUUUUAAUUGGUAGCUUCAAUGAAAAUGGUAAAAGAACAGCUAAAAUACCUCUUCUCUCCCGUAAAAACUAUUUCUGCAUAUCCCAAAAAAAAAAACCCAAAAUCUACAAAGUAAGACCAGUAAAAAAAUAAACGGAUUAAAUGCAGAGAAAAUGACUUCAAACGAAAAAAAACAUAUUUAUAUUAUUUAAAAUGUCAUAUUAACAUUUUAUCACUUCAAAAUAGCAUCUUGAACAUACUCUACCAACACCCAAAUACUGUCUCAUGUGUGACGACACUCGACAACACGUAUGCGCGUGCAAUUUCUCUUAGAAUUCACGAGGGCGGUUUCAAAUAGGACAAUGAGAGAAGGCCACCACAGCAGCUGCGCAGAAAUGUUUGGGAAAACGAUUAAAAUAUGUUUUUUAUUUGUUUUUUUUAAUAUAUUAUUUUAAUAUAUUUCCAAGCAAAAAUAGUUUGAAUGUAUCUUAUUAAAUCUUUUCAAAAAUUAAAAAAUAAUUAAAAAAAUAACAUGACUAAUUGGUUGUGCCAUUUCUAAUCAUGCAAUCUAUUAAAUAAAAAAAUCAAUAGAUUAUGAUAAUAGAAAUAGCACAACCUAUUGAAAUAAAAUUGUGUCAACCUAACCUGUUAAUUUUCUUUUUUAAAAAAAUAUGUUUCCUGUUUAUAUUUUAUCAUAAGACUAAGAGUGGUCGGUGAAACAUUGUUGAGUAAAAUUCAUUGCAUUGUGAAUUGGUUGAGUGUAAUGACUUUUUGCCCUUGACUGUGCCAGCCAAAAAAGUGCAGAGGGGGUGAUUUUUUACCCGGAGGGGGGAUGAUUCUUUCAUAGGUUAAAUUGUAAUUAUCAAAUUGAAUUGGAAUAAAUGAGUCUCUUUACAUUUUUGUUGCGUAGUGGGAGUACUAAUUUACUCUUAAAAUAUAAAAAACCCUAGUGUACAAGGGCUUCAUGGUCUUUUACUUUCUUCAAAAUAAUUAAAAAAUCUAUAUUACCUUAAAAGCAAAAACACUAAACCCUAUAAAAAUGAAAGUUAUUAAAUGUGUUUGGAUGGGAAUCAAGAGCGAUAUACCAAAUCCUCUGUUGCUAUUGCUAUCAUUUUUAUGGUUUCAAUCGUCAUUACGUCGUCGUCAUCGUGUGUAUUAUAUGCAUGGGAGACAUUAACAUUGGUGGAAAUUUCUACAAUUACUCUAAUGCAUCAUGGAUUAUUGUGCAAUAAAAAAUAAAUUUAUGGAUUAUUGAUUACUUCUAAUAACUUAUCUCAUCACUAAAUAAAUUUAGCUAUUAAUGUUAUAGUACAAUUAUGACUAAAAAAUAUAUAUUAUUUUAUCUUUUAAAAAAAUAGUAUUCUUGGAAGUGAUUAUAAACCGUUAAAUAGUUUCAUUUAUUAAAUAGUAAAAAUAUCUUUUUUUUUGUAAUUUAACUAAUAUCCAUAACUGUGAUAAUCUUGAAUAGUCAAGUAUAAUUUAAAAGAAAAGAAAUUAUCUUACUACCUUGGAGAAAAGAAAAUCAUUUAUUUUCAUAUUAAUUAUUAAAUAUUUAUACUUAUUGUAUCCCUUAUUAUAUUACUUCAUAAACUAAAAAAUUGAUGAUGUCCUGAAAUUCUUUGGGCCAGGUUCUAAUUGUUAAGUUCAAGUUUUUUGGACCAGGCAUAUUCGACAUACUCAUGUUUUUUAGGGGGUAUAAUAUCCCCUUGAACCUUGUUGUUUUAAUGGAUGAGAAAUACUAGAAAAUUCUUUAUUUUCAGCAAUAUUUAUGGAAAACAAAUAUACCUUACAUAUUAUCAAUGAGAUAAUAAGUAUAAAAGGUCUCUUAAAAAAAAUUGUAUAUGCCUAUAAGUAUAGAAAAAAUUAAUACCUUAAUAUGAACUAUUAUUCUAGAUGAAGAGGCACAACGGUUUAUCAUGUUUUUAAUACUUAUAUUGUAGAGGAUCUUUUAGGAUCAGACAUAUGACCUUAAAACUUGGUAAUGUCCAAGUUAUUUGGGUCUGACAUGUUUGUCAGACUCACAUUUUCUAACUGUUAAGUCCAAGUUCUUUGGGUCAGGCAUGUUCGUCAUACUCAUGUUUUCUUGGGCUUAGUUAACUACCAAGCCCAAGUUACUUGGAUGUAGCAUGUUCUCCAAACCCGCAUUUCCUUUAGCUUGAUUAACUACCAAGUUCAAGUUCUUUGGAUGUGAUAUGUUUGUCAGAUUCAUGUUACUAUAAACUUAGCAAACUGUCAAGCCCAAAUAUUUUAUGUUUGAUAUAUUUACUAGACCCAUUUUAUUUAAUUUUUUUAUAAAUUAAAAUGUCAACCAAAAAUUUACUCUUCAAAAAUAAUGUAAUUAUAAUAUUUUUCAAGUAACCACAACAAGAAGCAUAUAUAGUUAAAGGUUCAAUGCCAACAACAACAGAUAAUUAAUUGAAGAAAUGAAAAGGAACAUAUGGAUAUUCUUCAAAGCCUUGAUCCGGGAGCAUAUUGGAGCGUGUGAUCUCCAAUCGUUUUUUUAUCAUUUUGUUUCCGAGCCGAGUAAAGCGGAGAGAAGGAUAUUGAGAGAUUAUCAAGUCACUAAUUUGAUUGAUUUCGCUUACAUAUAUCCUCUCUUCUUCUUUUUCCCUGCGAGGUGAAAAAGAAAACAUAUUGAUUAGUUGAAUGGGAGUUAUUGAUCUCGAGACAUGCAUGUCCAAAAACUAUCCUCAGUCCAUAAGAUUAGUCAAUAUGAAAUUUGAAAAAUUUUUAAAAUAAAUUAUAUUAUUUUAAUAUGCUACUAUUAAAAAUAAAAAAUAUUAUUUUAACAUAUUUCUAAAUAAUUUUUUUUUAAAAAAUCACCUCUCACUCGAUUUUUCCAAAGCAACCUUGAGUGGUUAGGAGUUCAUUCUUAUUCAAAGUGCCCGUUUACUAAUGACAAGGAAACAUAUCGACCCCUGCUAAAAGCAAGUAAUGGAGAGGAAACUGAGCAUCUUUAAUUUUGAUCCACUAAACGCUUGAAAAGAUCUGUGCAGUAAUUUCUUGGCAUUGUUCAUGCACCCAGCAAGUCAAGAAACCUGACAAAACAUCCAUAAUUAUCCUGACAAUGCCAUUUCUCUCUCGAUACUAACUUUGGAUUAGUCUCCUGACCAGUACACCACACGCGCAUUGCUUUUGUUAUUUAAAAUUAAAUAUUUAAACUUGACCAAUGAUAUUGGAUUAUUAUUAUCAUAUCCGUUGCCAACUAAAGCCUUCAAGAUCAUGUCACCGGUAAUGAUGUGACCAAUAUGACCAAAGACUAAAUCGAAAGAAACACCAAAAUCUUUGGAAAAAAAGAAAAAAACUCGGCAGUCAUUUUAGCAACGAAUGGACUAUAAAAAGAAAAUAAAGGUCGAUUUCGACAAAGAAUUCUCUUGAAACUCGUUUUCUCAGACUUGAGGAUUUCUGCUAUUACUAAUCUCCUUAAACUUUGAUACUUAGUGGCGGUUUGAUAUUGUGGUUGUUGGUGAGGUUCACCCGCAAUUAUAAUUUUUAACGUUUGGUAAUGUUUCAACCACAAUUUUUCAAUGAUGGGUCCCACCAUUAAUUAUGGUACAACCACAUAUUACAAGAAGCAGCAAAGAGUUGCUUAAUAACCAUAUAAUAUAUCAAAUUUGAAUGGAAAUACUAGCGUCUUUGGAUGAAAGUUAUUUUUUAUAGUAUUUUUUAUUUGAAGAUAUAUUAAAAUAAUAUUUUUUUAAAAAAUAUUUUUAAUAUUAAUAAACCAAAAUGAUUUAAAAAUAUUAAUUUUUAAUUUUUAAUUUUUUUAUAAAAGUAAGCCUUUAUAAAGCAUCACCGCACAAGAAACAAAUCAUCUCUUUAAAUAGCUAUUGGUAUGAGCAAGACUCUUUUUCACGAAGAUCGCGUGCGAAUAUAAAGAAUUUAUACAAAUAGAGAACUCUUUACGUAUACAUCUAAAUGCCCAAAAUCACAAAAGCAAAAACGUCAUCUUUCCUCAUUUAUGCCUCCUAUGACGACAAAAUGUAAUGAAAUAAAUAAUAAUUAAUGUAAUUUCUUUUAUGAUAUAUAUUGGACAAUGAUGCCUAUUUAGUUUUUAUAUAUAUAUAUAAUUAUAGUUAUAAUACCAUCAAUCGAACAAAAACGACUUCAAUCCGGCCGAACAACGCCUCGUAACUUGGUGUCACUGUGCAGUAAAUCAUGAGUAAUCAUUUUUCUAGUCGGGGCUGGGAAGAGUUCAGCUAGAAUUUAAGAGUCCCGUCUAGAAAACUCUUUCCACGAGAGCGCUAGAGGGAUAUUGCCUGAUUAGUGGGAGAAACUUCGCGUGAUUAAAUAAAAUUUUCGUAUCUACUCAAUGUCAUGAAACGCAAGAAAUGAAUGCUCUUAACUCUUUUUUUUUUUUUUUCGUUUUCGCUCUCUAUUUUUUUUUUUAAAAAAUUAUCCUUAAUUUUUUUUUAUGGAAUGUUGAAAUCUAACUUCAUGAAAUAAAAUUUUUGAUUCACUGUAUAAAAACAAAACCAUAAUAUAAAAUACAAAGAAAUUACAUGGUCAAUAUCAACAUUUGUAUAAUCUUAAUUUUGAUCCAAAAAUUUAUUUUAUUUAUUUUUUAUUCAUUUUGUUUGAUAAAAAAAACUCACUAGAAAACGAAUUAUCGAGUAAUUAUAUUUUUGUAAAAACAAAAAUCAAUUUUACUGUCAACGAGUUUUAUUUAACUAAUAAAAUUCUAUUUAGUUGUUUUUAGAUCAAGGUUGAAAGAUAAAAAAAUUUCAUGUUUUUAUUUUGUAUUUUUUAAAUGAUUUAGGGAUGUUUUGAGUUGAUAAAUUAAUUUAUUGAAACAAUAAAUAUGUUUAUUGGAUAUUUUAAAGUGAAAAUAAAUUAAAAAAUAUAUAAUUUUACAUUCAAAAAAGCUCAACAUGAUUUCUAACCGUUUCUAUGAUAAAAAAACUGGGCAAGCAGACAAUGUUGGCUUGUAUUGUUUUUUGAAAAAAAAAGGUGGAUUAUAUGUUGGGCCUAUUAUGCAUUUUUUUAUAUUAAAUUUCAUGAAAUAAAUAACAUUAAAAUAUAUUAAAAAUAUAAUAUUUAAAAGUAAAAUUAUGGUUUUUUUAUAUAAAGUUACCGAGUGCUUUUUUUUGUAUUGUCCUUUGUGAUCUGUAUUUAUUCUUUCCUUAAAUCUUUUUUUUUAGCUUUUCUUCAUAAAUCUUUUUAUUAUCAACGAUAACAUAAAAACAAGCUCUAAAAAUUUAUAGUAUAUUAUAAUAAUAAUAAAAUAUUAUUUUUUAUUAAAUUUUACUUCUAUGAUUUUGAUAAUCUUUUUGCUUCAAAAAAUAAACAUUCUUAUAAAGAAAUUGUCAAAAUAAAAAUUGCAUUAAUAGGAUAAAAAGGUUUUAAUUAAAAACAAUUAUCCAGAAUAAUUUUGCUUCUAUGAUUUAAUAAUUUUUUCCUUUCAAGAAUAAACAUUAUGGUAAAAAAAUUGCUAAAAAAGAAAUCGUAUUGAUAUGAUAGAGAUGUUUUAAUUAUUAUUUUAAAUAUUGGCUAUUUUUUUUAAUUAUAUUGUAUUUUUAUAGUGUUUGAAAAGGAUUGUUGUAAUUUAUCUUUUUUCUUCUUUUAUAUUUGAUAUAAAUAAAAUUUAUAUGUAUGAUAUAUAUAUAUAUAUAUAUAUAUAUAUUUAAAAACAAAUUGUUAUAGUAAUAAAGAAUAACUUGUAGGGUAAAAAAAUAAAAAGACAUAAAUUAGAAAGAAAAAUCGAGGUUAGUUAUUUGUAUAUUGAGUUGCCUUUUAUCUUUAGAAGAAAUCUUAGCUUUUUGUUUAAGUAAUUAAUCAAUGACAAUGUAUCGAUUUAAAUAUUUUUUAAUUUAUUUCAUUAAACAUAAAUAAUAUCUUUGUGUUUGUUAAUUGAGAAAAUCAAGAUAAAAUAUAAUGCAUUCAUAACAUUCACACGAUCUUAUAGUAUACUAAAAAUCUUAAUUGCAACGUGGCACGGGUUUUAAGACUAUAUACAAACUAGAAAGUGAUUGAUGGACAACAAAAGUGGAGCAACGGCUCCACGACCGAGGUCUCAUGUCUUCUUUGAUCAAGAGAAUGAAAAAUCAUCAAAUCUGAUCCAGUUAAUUAUCAAAAUCUUUAACCUUGAAGACAAAUAGCUGGAGCCAAGUUUGCUCGGCGUGGUCUAGCUGCCAGCUGAGAACGCUGGAUCUUAAAGAGUUCAGACAUGUAGUUUUUUUUUAUGAGUGGAAAACUUUGCUGUGGAGAUUUCCUUUAUGGCUGUAAUUGAUAUGCAUACACGACACUGUGAUUAAUUUAUUUUUUCCUUGAAAGAGAAAGACGCAAGGUACGACCAUAAUGCCGUCCAGACAUGCUUUUGCUGCUAAAUUAUUUGUUAUAUAUUAAUAGAGUGUCCACAACAAGCAUUGACAAAUUAUAACUGUGUUGUCCCCUUUUUUUUAUAUAUAAAAGUCAAUCGCACGAGUCUUGGGAUCAUAUUGUGUGUGCACCCCCGUAUAUGCAGACCAUGCUACUCUUAUUUACAAUCCUUAGCCUUUCUUAUUUUUCUUCUUGUUAUUAUUAUCAUCAUUAUACUAAAUAUUAAAACAUGUGAGAUAUUCAUUAUAGAUAUUGGUAUUAAUCAUUCAUAUAUAUAUAUAAAUCAUUGUAGAUGGUUCUACUCUUUUUUUGUUAAUUUUUAAUUUUUAGUUGAGAAAUGAGAGAAAAAGAUCAUCAAAUUUCGACAAUAAAAAGAAAAAAAUAUCAUUGAUACUGAUUUAGACCAUCAAGACGGUUGAUAUUUGUGUCAAAUGAUUCCAUUUGAUGAGAGAAGUUCAUGCUAAAUGAUUUUUUUUUUUUACCUUUAAAGAUUAUGACAAAACAGAUCCGAGCCCGAUUUGAUUUUUGAUUUCUGGUUGAUUUCGGUUUUUGAGAUGAUUUUCUGGUUUUCUUGAGGCCAUUGAUAGGUUUAUUAUAUUUUCUAAGGUGUUUUGGGUAAAAAAAAUGGGUAUUUGAGUAAAAGCACUUAAACCUUAAUUUUUUGGCUACCAUAGUGGCCGGAAUCUGAGUACAUUAGAUGACACAUCAUCUAAUUUUUGUUAUCAAACAAAUUUGGGGUGGAUGACAUAUCGUCCACCCCAGUUGCAACAAAAAAAGGCCGAUGUGUGGGCCUUGAUGAAUAGGCCAGGCGAGCUGGCCUCGUGAGCUAGACCCAACAACGUCUGACCUUUGCUCUUUUUUUUUUCUAAUUCUUUUUUAAAACCAAUGAUUUUUUAUAUGGUUUUUUUCUUAUUUAUAUUUGAACUAAUACCCCUUCUCUCUUUUAUUUUGUUUAGAGAGCUUCUUUUAAAUGAUAAUUUUUUUUUGUUACGCAUUUAAAUUUUGAAGUGCUUUUCUGAUUCAUCUAUAAUUCUUUUUUUUUUUAUCUUUUAUAUAGAUGAACUUUAUUUUUGAAAAUAGAAAAUAUUUUCAGAUAAUAUUUCUAAUAUGUGUAGCCUUGCAUAAUGUUUUUUUUCCUUUUAUUUUAUUCAAUCAAUUUAAUUUGUGUCUAUAUUUCUAUUUUCCCCAUUGCAUAAUAUUUAUAUAAAAUAAUUUAAAUGAUAUUUAAUCUCACGAGCCAUGACAUUUACCCAGUUGUGUUCGCUAAGUUUGUUUAUUAAAAUAAUUUUUUUAUAUAGAGACAUGGACUCCCCGUAUUCAGACCAAAAAUCUUAGGAAGAAUUCUUCAGGUUUUCUAUAUUUGCGUGAGAUUUAUAAACCUCCUUCCUAGCUAUUUUUAGCUCCUUUCUUAAGAUAUAUCUUGCCCCUCUAAACUCACCUUCCUUUUUUUCCAAGUCAGUCAUCCCUCUCUCCAGGAGGUUAAUACUGUUAUAGGCCUUGGACAACUGUUGUUCAGUUGAUUCCAAGGCAUGGGUUUGAGCUUCCAUUUUCUCCUGUAGCUUGGAAUAUGCAGUUCUAAGAAAAUUCAUCUCAAUAUAUUGAGCGAACUUUUUUUCUCUAAGUUGGGCAUUUCAGACUUGCUAGUUCGAUACUUUUCAAUGGCCUCUUUCAUAACCCUUUUCUUCUCAACCCAUCUAUUCUUAGAGUGAGCACACAUCAUGAAGGUCUAAAUAAAAAGAUAAGAAAAAUUAUAUUUCAGAAUAACAUAAAACUAAAAAAAUAUAUAUUAAAAUUAACUUGUUAUCUUACUUUAAAAGUCAUGUGUUUUUAUGAUGGUUAGAUAACGCUGGAAGCUUGGGUCGGUUAGUCCUCCCACAUCAGAAGACAAGGUGAGGAGUUGUUUUAAUGUCCUUUUCACAUCCAACCUCCCAGGUCUCAACGUGGACCUCCCUUGAAGGACAAUUUCCAUUAUCGUUUUUUCCUCCUUAUCGAGAAUGGGGAAACAAAUGGGGGGUGAUCCAGCAUGAGAUUGGAGAAGAUGUCUUCCACCCUAGAGGUUGGAGGAGCUUGAUUAGAAGACCCAUGACAUAUGUAAAUUGAACUUGUAAGAGCAGGACAACUAUGUGGAAGGGGAAUGAUCUCCACUUUAGAAUCUAAACGAAUAAAGAUUUUCAUUCUCUUCCAAUAGGAACCGAUUUUUAGAAUGAUUGAAGUGGGUAUUGGCGCUCCAAGACACCUUGUUGAAGGGGAGGGAGACCCCCCUGUUGCCUCUUGAGUAAUCUCGUUAGCAAGAUGUUCAAUUACAGGGAUUUCUUCAGGGAUAUCCUCGACUUGGAUUGGGAUUAUGAAAAUCUCCUCAAUAAUCAUUUGUAUAAAAGACUUAACCCUUUGUCUUCGCUUCAAUGGUUGAUUUUCUUUGGAAGAGGAGUCACUGUUGGGAGAAGUCGUAGUCACAUGACUAGGCAUUGAUGGGGUAGACCCACUGUAUUCGAAUCCAGCGAUCCCAGGUAAAGACCCUAUACAAGAAAACAAUUAGGGAAUGAAAGAUUUUGAAAAUAAAUAAAUAUAUAUGAAAUCAAAAUUACUUGAAAUGCCAUAUAGCCUUUUAGCCAUACAAUUAAUGUCAUAUUCAGUAUGAAGGUUGGCCAACCUGGUACAAACCCUCUCCUCUUUUGGGCCUAAGAAAAGCUUUUUAUUUACACUUACUGGGGGUGUCCUUCAGUAGUGGGUACAACCCUAAAUUAGAUUAUACGUAUCUUGAGGUCUGGCUAGGCUAGUAUACCUCAUUUAAAUUACCCUCUGCUCUUUCCACUGUUUUAAUGGAGAGGACUUUCCCCUCAUGGUAUUUUUCAUGGGUCCAUUCCAUCUAUUGACAAAAGUAAAGAACCAAGGGAUUGGAGGUCCCUCUUCAACGCUACUGAUCAAGGUAAAAUAAUUUCAAAAUACCGUGACCGAGGGCUCCUCGUUUAAAAUCCUUAAUAAUUUUUCAAAUAAAUAUAAAAUGAUCCAUCCGUUAGGAUGAAUUUGCACAAGACUAAGGUUACAAUACUUUAAAACAUCCCUCACAAAUCCCUGUAGAGGAAAUGAGUAUCUAAACUUGUAUAGGCAUAAGAGGCUUAUAAUGAUAAUAUUACCCCCAUCAUAUUUGCUAGUGACCUAAGAGAUACGAUCAUCAACUUCAGUGACGACCACCGGAUAUUCUCCUAGUUGAUUAGCAUUAGUUAGGGAUACUUGGUCCCAAGACACUGAACUUUGUGUGUUGUCCAUAAGAGUCAUAAGCAGUCUUAGUCGCCUUCUUAGGUUUGAAAAUUUUUAGGGAAUAUCCUCAUCCCUUCUUCCAGUAGAAGAAGGUUGGACAUUAUUCCUCUCAGAUCUAAGGUAUUCCUCUCAGAUCUAAGGCUAAUUUUUAUGGCCGAAGAUCUUUGACGAGUGGUUCUAGUUUCAGGUUUUAAAUUGAAAUCACCCUUAGGAAUUUUUCUUCUUUUUUUCUUUCAUAAAAGUCAUAAUUAUAGAAAUACUUAAGAUAAAAAUAUCUUAUAUAGUAAAUGAUUCAUAAUUUUUUAUCUCUUAAGAUAAAAAUACUUAGAUUUCAGAGUAUUAAUAAACUUAAAACUCAAGAACAAACAUCUUCAAGUACAAAUAUCUUUGUUCCUGGAAUUUAAGGUUUUUUUAAAUUAUUUAAUACAUUUCUUAUAAAGAUACUAAUUUUAUUAUCGAAAGGUUUUUGAGUCCAAGUAUAUUAACACAUUUUACAGGUAUUCAAAACUUUUAUUGUAAGCAUAAAUUUAUUGGAUAAAAAAAAAAUCCAAGCAUAUUAACAUAUUAAUUAACCAUUAUCUCAAAUACUAAAUAACUUUUUAUAUAUAUCUUAAAUUUUAAAACAUUGUCACAUAGUCUGAAUUGAACUCAGAUGAACACCUGACCUUCCCAAACCUCUUUUCCUCUUUUCCAAGUGCCAUUCACGCUACUCUAGCGGGUCCAAUAACAAAAGUUAUCAAAAAAAUUUGAAAUAGUUAAUCUCCAGGUAAGAUUCUACCCCCAUUUGAAACCGGUCCGCUUCCAAACGGGCCAGCUGUUUCACUCUCUUCCCUCGCUGGAUUCCCCGUCAAGCACCCCCGCCACAUGUUUCACACACUGCAUUUACUCCACGUGUCAAUCCAGAAUCCUUCACAUCACCGCCUGUACGACCCGGCGGCGAUCUCUGCUUUUUCUCCCCUGCAUCUUACCACAUAGAAACAAAACCCGUCUAAAAGAAGAGACAGAGUCAUAACUCAUCAACCAACCGCUUUGUAUUUAAACUGCCCCGUCUUUACACAUAUCAGAUUGCGGUCGCUUCUUUAAAUUUCCAUUUCCAAUUUCUAAAAGAAAAGUCUAGUCGGGUUCUUUUUCUCUGUGGUCACUUCUUCUCUACCGAUUUAAUUUCUCCCAUUUAUAAUUCUCUUUUCAAAAUCCUUGCUGAUAAUCAUCAUCAUCAUCAUCAUUAAAUGCAAAAUUAAUAGCCUUUUUUUUUCACAUUCUCUGUAACCGUUUUCCUAACAAUUUUCCGCUUGUAACCGUCAUGAAUAAUAAUAAGCUUCUCACUUCCACCACCACCCGCUGCUGUCAUGUCACCAUUUCUCCAAUAACCGUCGGGUUGUCCGUUGAUUUGUGUUGAGAAGUUUCCUUAUGCAUCCGCUUUGCUGCAUCUCCACCGUGUCCGAUCACUCGCCGGCGAAUCUAUCGAUGGCAGUCACCGCCAGAUCCGACCCCGGAUCAACCACCGUUCAUCCACAAAUUCAAAUUCAAAUCCAAAACCACAACCAACACAACACUAAUCAUUUCUCAAACCACCACCACCACAACCACAGCACCGCCAGCAACUGCAGCAGCAGCAACGGAACAGAUGGUAACAAAAGUAACAGGACGAGUCACCAGAGGGAGCAACCACUUGUACAGGUGGAUGUGAAGAUAAAUGAUAUAGUAGGGAAUGGGAUAUCGGGGGUUUUAUAUAAGUGGGUGAACUACGGGAAAGGUUGGAGGCCGAGAUGGUUCGUUUUGCAAGAUGGAGUGUUGUCGUAUUAUAAAAUUCAUGGACCUGAUAAGAUUUUCGUUAAUCAAGAGACCGAGAAAGGAUCCAAAGUUAUCGGUGAAGAAUCUAUGAGACGUAUUUCUAGGCCUAAGAAUGGGAAUUCGCAGAAUAGGCGUAAGCCUGUUGGUGAAAUUCACCUCAAGGUGAAUAUAUGAUAAUUUUUGUUUUUCAAUUUUCAAUGGCCUCUUGGAUUUGGAUUGUCAAUUAUUCUUACUGCGAUUUGUUAUCUUUUGUUUCUUCUAAUGGAAGAUUUUACUUUCGAUGAAAAUUUAGUGGAAUCAUGUGAUUUUCCCCCAACUUUCAGUUAUAUUCUCUCUAAAUCAAUUUUAUUCAUUUAUCAGAAUAGGAAUUGUCUUUUUUUUUAUGGUUUCUCCCAUUAAAUCUCAAUUUAUGUUUUUAGGUAUCAUCAAUCCGCGAGAGCAGAUCAGAUGACAAGAGGUUCUCAAUAUUUACUGGCACAAAGAGGCUGCACUUGAGAGCAGAGACACGUGAGGAUCGCUUGGCAUGGAUGGAAGCAUUGCAGGCUGUGAAGGAUAUGUUCCCUCGUAUGUCUAACAGUGAACUAAUGGCUCCUUUGGACAAUGUGGCUGUCUCAACAGAGAAGCUGAGGCAGCGGCUUCAAGAGGAGGGAGUCAGGGAGGAGGUGAUACAGGAUGGCGAGCAGAUCAUGAGGACUGAGUUUGCAGCGCUGCAGAACCAGAUAGUGCUUCUCAAGCAGAAGCAAUGGCUUCUCAUCGACACGCUUCGCCAGCUAGAGGUACAUGUUAUGAAAAGUACAAAAGAAAAUGCCAUUGGAAUUCGGAAUUCUACUUCUUGUGCUUCUACAGUUUCUUCUACCAUGCAGAGUCGUGCAAAUUCCAUCUGAUUUCUUUAGAUAUCUAUAGGUGGGGUGGUUUUUUGCAUCUGUGUCGGUAAGUAGAGAUGCACUUUGUUGAUUCUUUUACGUGAUUCUUUUGUAUAGAAGUUCAUUUGGAGAGGGUUUAUGUGUUAACAUUUGUGUAUUAUUCAGGCAAUGAUCAAUAUUUUAUAUUCCUUUUGGAAGAGAAGAAGAAGAAGAAUUAACUAGGAUUUCAUAUGAGAAUGCUAGAUAGGAGGUUACUUACACAAUUCUGACUUUUAGAGUUCAGGUUCUCCAUUUUAUUCUAUCUGUUAGUCUAGAAGAGGCCUCAUCAUGUCUUUCUCUCACAUCCUGAGAAAUUAUCGUAAUGGUAAAAUGAAACGAGGUAUACCAUUUACAUGGUAGCAGAUUCCUUCGCAGAUGACAUAUUUUCCUGAGUUCAAAGUCAUGUUUGCUAGGCAAUGAGUUGUCGUUCUACUAGCUUUCUUGUCCCUUCUUCCUUCAAAAACCUAAAGUUUGAACCUCUCCUUUGUAACAAAAAAAAGGUCAUGUAUGCUAACCAGACAGAUACAUCUAGCUUGGUUUUUUUACCAUGAUUUAUACACCCAGUGUAUAUUUUUUUCUCCUAACAUGCACUUUGGUGGCAUACAAAGUUGUUUUUUUUAAGUUUUUAUUGUAUAUAGGUAAUUUAUUUCUCUCAUAAUGGCAAACUCUUAUAGACGUUCAUAGUAUCUUUUAUUAAGAAAAUUCUAUAUUUUAUACUUUUAUAAGUUAAUUUCUCGCUUUUCGCAAGUGUAAGAAGUACCUUGCCAAUGUGUGCAUUUAGAUACCAUUAUCAUAUUUUUACCUGAAAGUAUUUAAUCUCUGGAAAAAAAAAUAUUUUACUAGUAUUAUUAGCUAUUCAGUCUAGCAGCAGAAGUUUCUAGGAAAUUAUUUCAAUUUGGUUGCCUUGACAACAUUAAAAAUUGUAAAAGAAACAGUGAUAUUUGCAAAUCAGGUGAUUGUCUCGGUGGAGAUUGUGUUUUUAAUGGUGUUGUUUUUACUGGUUGUUGUGGAAAUCAAAGAUGAAAUACUGGUUUAUGAGAGUGCCGUCACCAAGUGCUUUGGUACAUGACUUGUUAAGUGAGUUCGGCCACUCUAGAGAUUUUUCUUUCCAAUCAGUUGAGUUUUCUAAGCAAUCUAUUUGGCUCCGACCAUAUAUGUGCUCUAUAUAGGCUGGGGACUUGCUUGUUCAUCCAUGCUUUCUUUGUGCAUGGGGAGUAUGCAUUUUGUAGUGCUGUACAGAUACACAUCAUCAUCACUUAAACAUUUUCUUUGGCAGAAUAUUAUUGAAGCCUUGGGUUCAGUAGUGAGGUUUGCAGGAGUGGUUCCUGCGAAUUACUAUUGUCAUCAUCACUCAGCUUUUGACAACAUCUCCUUAAGUUCACUCCCUUAAUGAACUCUCCAAUUUCCUUGCUUACCCUGUGUUCCAAACUUGGUAUUGUAAAACAGAUUCUAUUGAAGCUGGUGAGUGUUGCAAACAAACAGAUCUUGGUUUUCCUAUGGUGGAACUUGUAGCCCACCUGCGAACUUCUCCCACAAUGACUAUGAGGAACUUGUUGACUUCAAAAUUUAUAGUAUUAAUUUUAUUUUUUAAGGAUUUCUUUCAUUUUCCGCUCCAGGAGGAUGGUUGUGCAACUUGCCAGUGUUUCUGAGGUUUUAUACUCAGUUUUAUCCAGGUUUUCUGCUAAAUUAUAUAUCUGCAGCAAUGAAAUUUUUAAUUUUUUUGCAAGUACGCUUAACCUUGUCGUUUUUUAAGAUGGCUUUUCUAUUGCAUUAGAAUUCUGCCAUACCAUUAUGUAUUAUUUUUUUUUAGAUAUUUUCUUGAUCUUCAGUAACUCGAUGCUACAACCCACUUGGGUAAGGCAAGAAAGCUGAUGUAGAAUUAGACCUAAAAACUAUACUACGUUGGCCCCACAUCAGUAAGAUUUUUCAUGUCAAGGAUUGCUCAAGUUAUAGCCAAAAAAAAUAAAAUUCCAUCCCAUAUGUUCUCUGUUAUUUUACUGGGAGGUAUAAGGUAGAGAAUUGUUCAACUUUGCAGUAGGAAGGAAAGAUCAAAGUUCAAUAUUUGCUACUUUCUCACACAUGAUGAGGUUUGUAUGCUACAGUAAAGUUUGUGAACUGCUUAGAAGUUGAUUCGAUGAAUUUUUAACAUUUUAUGCAUCUUACAGUUUUGAUGUUAUACCUGAGGCUAAGGAUUGAUUGCCUAAUGGAAUUAUGGGCUAUAACAUCGUAUCCUUUCUUUAAUAUUUUACCAUUGUUUCCAUAAAGAUCCUUGCUUACUUUGUAAACAUCUGUGAGGUGCAUAUCUUCUCUCCAUGCUUUGAUUCCCGAUUUGCAUUUUGUUCCUUUGCUUGCAAUAUGAAUGUUUGCUUUUAUUUGAUGAAUCAGAUGAUUAGCCAAUUAAAUUUUACUGUUCUAGUAUUAAUGAUUUUUUUUUCAGUUAUUGAUUGCAUUUGCAUUUUGAAUGUAUGUUUUAUUUUAGUAAGAGUUGACUAAAUGCUGCAUCAGUUUCUGUUACAAGGUUUCAAUCUUAAAUAUUUCCAUGUGUAACCCGGGAGCUGCUUUUGUUUUGUAUUAUGCAGACAGAAAAGGUUGACUUGGAGAAUACAGUAGUUGAUGAGAGCCAAAGACAGUUGAACGAUCAACGCACAUCUUCUUCCACUCUGCCACAAGACAAAUUUAGUGGUAAGUUCUGCAAUAAAAUUUUUUUAACAUCAAGAGCUGAUUUUGUAAGACACUGUGAUUCAUAUACCAAUAUGCCAAUACUUGAUUGGUGUUUAGGUCCUGUCAUAGUCCAGUAUAUUCUUCUGUUAGUAAAUGAACUCAGCAUUUCUGGAUUACCUGAGAGAUGUAUAUGAUUGUCAUGAGAAUAUCAUGCCCGGGUACUAAAUAUCCAAAAACCAGUUUGGUGCCUGAUUCUCAACAGGCCACUCUAUGGCAUGUGUCUUACUGAAAACUAAUAUUUGUUAAACAUUGAAACCUUUAAGACACAACAGCCUCUGACAGAAGGGUCAUGAUAUUAUUACUUGGAAUCUGGGAUUAUUUCUAUUCUCCUCAACUGAACAAUGUAAGGUGUAACUGGCAGCAUAUAGCAUCAUCUAGUGUCUCGGUCUGGUUUUCAUGUUGUUCUUAUGAACAGAAUGAUUUUGCUGUAUUGUGGUAGUGUGCUGAUUCAACUUGUAACAAUAGGUCAGCUUUUGUUUUAUUUUUGUGCAUUACAUUGUAAUUGCUGGUUGUUUGUGGAAGUCUAAAUGUGUCAAUGCUUGUUUUUACCUUUCAAUUUCUUCUUUCAUCAUUGUGGCUCUUUAAUUUUCUGAUUUUAAUCAUCUUUGAAAUGGUUUUAUGUAUUUUUUAAAUUUAUCAUCUUGCCUCUCUCUAUGGAUGCUUUGAAAUUUGAUUCUCAUUUGUUUCUUUUCUCGAAGCAAGUGUCAGUGAAUCUGAUGAUGAUAAUGAAAGAGUUGAUGCUGCAGAGGAAGAGACGGAUGAUGAAGAGAAUACAUUCUUUGACACCCGUGAUUUUCUAUCAUCGGGUUCUUUUAAAAGUAACGAGUCUGGUUUCCGAACAUCAUCAUUCUCUUCGGAUGAUGAAGGGUUUUUUUCUCUAGAAUCAGAAGAUUGCAUUGAUCCUUCAAUUAGAUCUGUUGGCUCAAACUAUCCUUACAUUAAGCGUCGUAAGAAGUUACCUGACCCAAUUGAAAAAGAAAAAGGUGUCAGUCUAUGGUCGAUGAUUAAGGAUAACAUUGGGAAGGACCUUACCAAAGUUUGCCUUCCUGUUUACUUCAAUGAGCCUCUCUCUUCGUUACAAAAAUGCUUUGAAGAUUUGGAAUACUCGUAUCUUCUUGAUCGGGCAUAUGAAUGGGGAAAACAGGUCAGUUUAUGUGUUAGAUUUUCAUGCUAUUCUUUUUCUUCCACAAAAUGGUAAUUAGCUCUAUUAUUGGUUAUGCAUGUCACUUUAACAAAGCUGUGCGACUUCAUAACUGGUUUUGUUCUAUAUCAGUUGGAUGCAAAUUUAUGUAUAGCUUCUAUUAAAGUACCUGCUGUAUCUUUUGCCCAUUUAGUUUAUGUUUCUCAAAUGAUUUGUUGUUUCCUCAGCCAUAUUUUUAGUUACCCAUCACAAGAAAAAUCUAUCUUUGUGUGAAUUCUAAGAGGAUUAUUGGAUGGUGAAUGAUAGAAUUUCCUUUCAACCUAACUCUUAGAUAUAAAUAGCAUGUUACCGUAACUAUUACCUUUUUCUACUUACGUCCUAUUAAAGAACCAUCUCAACCAAAAAGUAUAAGUUGUUAGGAGAGGUCCCAAGAUAUAAUUUAUAUUAUUCUUUAACACACAUUCUUAAGUAAAAGCCUACACUACCUUGUGUUAUUAGUUAAUUUUAAUUAGAAAAAAGAAUGAGAGAUGUAAAAUUCGAAUUUUUGAUAACCUUAUGGUUAUUAAAACUUCUGAUAUUAUAUCAAAAAAUAAUCUCAACUCAAAAGCUUAAACUGUUAGAUGAGACUCCAAGAUAUGUUUUAUAUUAUUCUCUAAAUAUACCCAUCUUAGAAACCCAUUGCUUUUUCUUAAACUUCUGGUUCAGCAUCUUAGAGUGAACAUACUUUUCCUGAAAAAUAAGUUGAACCAUGAAACUUCUAUCUUGGAUUCUGGUAAUCUGGUUAUGUCCUCAUAACUGUUUGCCUUUCAGAUUUACAAUUUGAUUCAAUGCAGCAGGAUCAUGGAUUGUGCUCGUUAUUUUAGUAUGUAGUGAGACCAUGUGCAUGUUGCAUAUAUGAACUUUUUUCGGGUUUGCUCUUGCAUGUAUUCUGUACAUUCAAGGCUGCACCCUGUGGAAUGCUUAUCUUAGAUGUCAAAUAUUCAUGCUCCAAAAAAAAUAGUGGUGGGUAUAGAUGGGCCUCCUGAUUUUUGUUUUUUUAUCAUUGCAAAUGCUGCACACUUCUGUGUUUCGUGUUUGCACUUAAGCUGGUUAGUCUCUAAGCGUCGUCUCACUCUUUCUAUGAGAUAAGCCUGUGCAGCUCUUAACUUUCUGAUCCAUGGAGUGCUUGGUGUUCAUACUUAAGGCAUAGUAACCUCCAAUGGUUCCAUCUUUUCUUAUAUGAAAUAAACCUCUGUGGCAUUUCUUUCCCUAAACCAUGGUCAUUGAAUUUCCUUCUGUUCAGGGUAACAGUCUUAUGAGGAUUCUUAAUGUGGCUGCUUUUGCUGUUUCUGGAUAUGCUUCAACUGAAGGAAGAGUUUGCAAACCUUUUAAUCCAUUAUUAGGGGAAACAUAUGAGGCCGACUAUCCAGAUAAGGGCCUCCGGUUUUUCUCAGAAAAGGUUUGUUAUCAACUUCUGAGAGUUCAAAUUAACUGUUUGAUCUGAUCUAUUCUCUUCUAAUCUUUUUUUGUGCAUAUGUAUGUCAGAAUGAAAAUAGCUCGAGUACUACAAAUCCUAAACUUUGAUUCAAAGAUGGUUUUAUAAAAUUGAAAAAAAAAGAGAAGCUGCUUGUUUAGUAAGCUCCUGUUUUAUGACUUCAUAUUGUAGCGCACUAAUAAGUCUAUAGGGAUUAUUACCAUGGGGAAGGUGGGGUUUGGUUUGUUGAAAUCUCUCUAAUGUGUAACAUUUUGAACUUGAUAAUAUGGUAUCGUGUAUACUGUAUCAUGUCCAGUGAGAGUGCAGGGGUUGCUAGUUUUAUUAUUUUUGUGCAAUGAGAAAAAUGUUGGGAAAUGACGAGGAGCCUUAUUAGAGCGAAGAAACAAAAUAAAUAUGUAGAAUUUAUGGGUUAUUUAACUGUGAGGAUCGUAUCAUCAUAUAAUUGGGGUUGUUACUAAUGGUAGAUGUUUUCUUCCCUUUUGACGGAGAAAUUGGCUCAGAGUUGUUACGAUGCAAGAGCCAAAAGUGCAUGCACAGUGUCCCAUGCUCUCUUCUUCAUUCUUCCCUGGAAGACUCCUAUUUACCCAGCUCUUUCACAUAAGGGUCAAUUUUAUUAUAAUGGCCUUGAAUGUUUUCCUUCUUUCAUUGUUGAGUAUUAAGUAUCUAUUUUUUAUGUAACUUUUGAUGUCAGGUCAGUCAUCACCCCAUGAUUGUCGCAUGCCAUUGUGUGGGUACAGGAUGGAAAUUUUGGGGUGAUAGCAAUCUAAAAAGCAAAUUUUGGGGUCGCUCGAUUCAGCUUGAUCCCGUUGGAGUUUUGACCUUGGAAUUUGAUGACGGAGAAGUCUUCCAAUGGAGUAAGGUAUAAAUCAAGACGUCUUUUCCUUUUCCUUUCUUUUUUCAUGUUCCAAUUGAAAGUAGACAUUUUAUUUCAGGUUACAACAUCAAUAUACAAUCUUAUACUAGGAAAAUUGUACUGUGAUCACUAUGGUACAAUGCGAUUAGAAGGAAAUUGUGGGUAUUCAUGUAAGCUGAAAUUCAAGGAGCAGUCUAUUAUAGACCGAAAUCCUCACCAGGUGCGUGCUUUCUUUCUUUCUCGAAUGAUUGUCCAGAUGACUUCAGUUAUGUUUAUACAAACGUAAUUUUCAGGUACAGGGAGUAGUUCAAGAUAGGCAUGGUAAAACAGUGGCAACUCUUUUUGGAAAAUGGGAUGAGAGCGUGUAUUACAUGAAUGGUGACUUUUCCGGGAAGGGAAAAGGAUUUGAGUCUACGAAAGAAGCUCAUAUGCUCUGGAAGCGAAGUAAACCUCCCAGAUUUCCCACCAGAUACAAUUUGACACGCUUUGCCAUUACAUUGAAUGAGCUCACUUCUGGACUUGAGGUACUUUUAUAUGCAUUAGCAAUUUUGUAGCUUGGUUUCUUGUUCGUCUGGCAACAUUUACUGGGGGGAAAUCUAGGUAUAUACACUUCCAGUAUGCUUUAACAUGCAUGUUUAUGAAUUAAUGACUCCCCCUGUUUAUCAACUUUUCCAGUUCAUUGGUUUUGAUUGCUGGCCUCUUCUUAUGUGCAGGAAAAGUUGCCUCCCACAGAUUCAAGGCUUAGACCCGAUCAAAGGUACUUGGAAAAUGGUGAAUUUGAUAUGGCAAAUUCAGAGAAAUUACGGCUAGAGCAACGUCAGCGCCAGGUAACAUGCACAAUGCUUUUCUCCGUUGUAGAAUGAAUUCUACAUGUAGACAGUUCUAGAUACUUGCAUGUUUAGUUGCAAUUUUAUAGCAAUAGAAAUAAUACAAUGGGGUAUUUCUACUGUUAUCUUUCACUGCUGAUGUGCUUAGUCAACUUUUUCUUUGUGGUUUUGAUGGUAGUGUGAUGGAAUGUUGUUUUAAUAUGGAUUCCAGGCCCGAAAGAUGCAAGAGCGGGGUUGGCAGCCGCGGUGGUUUGCAAAGGAUAAAGGAAGUGAUGCAUACCAUUAUGUUGGCGGGUAUUGGGAGGCAAGAGACAAGGGAGAUUGGGAUUCGUGCCCUGAUAUAUUUGGCCAGAUUCCUAUCGAUCAGCUCUUUGAUUAAAAUCACAAUUGCCUUCUUUCUGUUGUCAAUCCUUGAUUCAUUUUUUUGGUGGAAGUAGUGGAUGACUGCUGAUGUGAGCAGUCCAGCUGCCCCAUGAUAUCCAAUGUAAGUAAAUUAAAAAUCGGUUCAGUAAAAGAGUUUUUUCCUGACCUCCCUCGUCUAGAUAUUAAUCGAAAUCUAGCCCAAAGUGGAGCCGGCGGAACCACGUCCACUGAAAAGAAGCAGACCCUUUUUUUUUUUCUCGGAGAAUGCAUGUGUGGCCAUACAUCUACCUCCAGCAGAAUUUGAUCUUAUUUUACUGGUUUGGCCCGCGCUUACAUUCCAUUACUAGCUUAUUAACCUAUCGGAGUUCUUCUAGGUUUUAUAUUUUAAAUCCAUAGCUCAGAAUUUUCCAUCUAAAGUUUCAGCUCAUUUUUUUUUUAAAAAAAAAUGAAAUACAAGUCCCGAGAAAGAGCAGAAAGGUCAGUCCCAACUCCCCCAUGGGUGGUGGUUUUGAGGGUGGUUUUCUUGAAAUAUGACAUUCAAUUGGUUGAAAGAACGGGGUGGCACGGAACUGUUUUUACCAUUGAACCGUUCCAAUAGAUGUAGACUUCCAUUCCAUUCGCUUCUUUGAUUUGGUUAUUGUGCUCAACUGCCAGUUAUUCCAAGUCUAGUCGAAUGUUCUACAGGGUGAUAAAUAGUUCUUUUGACCCGUCUACACUUUGAUAUCUUGCGUGAUCAUUUGUUCUACAGAGUGAGGAAUAGUUCUUUUGACACGUUCACACUUUCAUAUCCUGCAUGAUCAUAAUAGAUUGGUCUCUUCUAGGCUGCUAACCUCGAUGAAAUGUGAAAUCUCUCCCUCUCCCUCUCGACAGAGUUGCUUGUGACGCAAUGAGGGUAGUGUUCUGACACUGUAAGAUAUCAGCCACGAACUGAAGUUCUCUGUUCCUUUUUCUUGGUAUGAUAGAUUAGAUGGAUGGAUGACCCAACAUAUCCCAUGUCCCAACAGCAUGAUCUAACUGUUCAAUCAUUCUUGACCGUUCAAUCUCUCCUUUAGAGGGGGACCCGUCUGAAACUAUCCAACCCAUCGGCCGGCACAACAGCCAAAACAACAAUAUAUUUCAGGGGUUUAUGCAAGAGUGUGUCUAACGUCAGAACAUCAGAUUCUUGUUAUUUUGGAUUGAUUGGUGAUGGUUUUCUUUCUGAAGUCACAACUUUCCAGCUGACUGACUUCAGCUAAAUUUAUGCAAACGAGGCAGUUUGAGUGAUCUCAAAUCAGGCUUCUUUUAGUUGCCAGUCUUGUGUUAGAUUACAGCAUUUAUUGGUAGAGUUUUACGAGCUGCUCACCUGUUCCUCACAAGGAUGGUUACUGAGCUUGGUUAUAAGAGCCCUGAGCACAUAGAGCGGGUAUAUGACUAGCCUUUUGGUCGAUCUGUCCUUCUGUCUUUGAAUCAAAAGUUACCCUCUGGGUAACAGCACAAUAACUAGUAUAUUCGAUGCAUCUUCAGUACAAUGUGGGUAUAUUCCAAGAAAAUUAAAAAAUUAACAAUGCGGAUGGCUUGGUACGGUAAUUUGGGUCAUAAUCCAAGUUAUAUGUGCUGAUGGGUUGUUUUUUUAUUAAUUGUAACAACCCAGAUCUCAAGGCAAUUACACGGUAAGAUGAUGAAAAUUGGAGGGUCUAGCCUUUGGUUCUUAAUGAACCUUUUGAAAUCUGGCAAACUGAAACUCAAACCUGAAAAAAGAAAAAGAAAAAAACUGUUACUGUAGUUUUAUAAAUUACAGUUUGCAUAUCAUUAUUUGUAGUGUUUCCCAUACUUUACAUCCUUAUUUAUUGGUGUGGAAAAAUAUAAACAAAAUAGUUUAAGAAAAUUAUAAGAUUAUUAUUAUUUUUUAUACAAUAAUUAAAAAAACCUUUACAGUGUUAAUUUAUGACUUUUACACUUUGUUCACCACCUUUACCCAACACAACACCCGUCAGCUGUGGAUGUACAAGAAGGCAAGCAACAUUUGCAACAAUCAGAGAAAAAUAAGGAGUCUCUCCGGUUGCUAAAUAUGAACUCCUCCUUUAAGCCUACACUACCACAUAAAAUAAAAUCUUUAUCCAGGAAAAUUUAGGCAGGAGUUCCCAGGUUAAAGAGCCCAAGCUCUACAGAUGGUAUGGCAUUGGACAGAUUAUAAAUACGAACUCCUCCAUUAAACGUAAAGUGAAGAGGAAGAACAGGACAAAUAAGUCCAAAGUAAACAACCCAUUAGGUACAGAUGAUCCAUAAAAAGAACCUCUCCAAACUCCCACCAGAUAUGAGAUAUAACAAAUUCCAGAAAGAGGAGAAGGCAAAAAACUUCAAAGGGCCGGGCACGACAUUCAGUUUUUGAUCGGCAUCGUGUACAUCCUCACGUAAUUGGGGUUUCAAUAACCCGUGUAGAUCAAUUUGGGUUUCUUUUUUUAUAAAAAAAACACAAGAAUAAUUGAUUUAUUAAACACAAAAGAUUAAAUUUUGAUUUUCGUGAGAUUUUAUGUUCGUGGGAAAGAGAGAAAACCAUGUCAUAUUUUAUAGACUGACUAGUCAAUUAGUUGUUUAGUGUUAUAUUAUAUAUAAUGAUAUAUUUGUUUUUCAUAUUAAAAUUUAAAUUUUGUGCCAUGAUUUAUAAAACUAGUAAGGAAAAGUGUUAGAGCAAAAACUUCGAGAGGGUUAGCAAUUCUUCUAAAAAAUAAAUUAGGCAAUGACUGUUUUCGCACGACAGCUACUAGGAGUUAAGCAUUUCUUGAAUUUCAAUUUUCCUUUGAAUGUCUUCUGGAUUUUUAGAUUCUUGCAGUUGUUUUUUUUAAAUAUUUUUUAUUUAAAAAUUUAUUUUAUUUUUAAAAUUUAUUUUUGAUAAUAAUAUAUGAAAACAGUUUAAAAAUUUAAUUAAAAGUAAAAAAAAAAUAGAAUACACAAACAAACCGGCUGACAAAAAAAAUUUAGAAAAACCAGUGUACGAGUUCCAAACAGAAUUUCUUUUGGAACGAAAUUUCUAGAAUCUUUCGUGAUAUGAUUUUGACAUGUUUAGAUAAUUUCGUAAUUAAGCAAAUAAGGAACCAAAGUGCACGCCUUUUUAUUCUUACAAGAUGUGCCGAGAUCCAUGGUAACGUGAAAAGGAAGUUGAGAUCUUUUGUAAUGACCAAGAACAUGGAAAGUGAACCACCAGAGAAUAUUCACUCACCAGCUUCCUGAAAUCAAAUAUUUAAAAUAUGCUUGAGAUGGGCAGUGAAUAUUUUCACCUUAAUUGUACUUCGAAAUUGGAUUUUUAUGCAAAUUAAUGCCAGCGAGAUGGUGGACUGUACACUUUCGUAUGGAGGUGUUAAUUACUUUUCCACUGACCUCUCCAUGGGGGGACCACAACGACGGUAUUUUAGAAUUUUAAGACAGUUUCUUACAAAUUUUAGUGAAGUAACGUAUAUUAGAAAAAUAGUAUGGUUAAUUCAAUUUUUAUUAAAAAUAAUGAUCGAAAAUGUGGUUGCGGUUGCUUUUUAAAGUACUUUUCACUUAAAAAUAUAUUAAAAUAAUAUUUUUUUUAUUUUUUAAAAAUUAUUUUUAAUAUCAACGCAUCAAAAUGAUCUAUAUACACCAAAAAAAUAUUAAUUUGAAAUAAAAAAAUAAAAAAAAAUCAAAUUUUUUUUAAAAUAUUUUCGAAACACAAAAACAAACAAGGUUAAUUGAUCAAGAAAUAAGAUUGAAAAAUCAAUCAUAAAAAAAAAUACCUCCAUUUUUACCCCGCACUUGUUAAAAAUGUUAUUGUAAUUUAUUAAAGUUUUGUUUGUAGUUAAUUCAUGAUUACCAUCUCGUGAAGUCAUCGCCAUACACGAUAACUUGUUGGUUCUAAUUCGAGAUGUUGGCCAAAGCCAACUUUUGCUAAAUGUGCUUCCCAUCACAAGCAUGCUUUAUGUUUUCUUUCCUUAAUAAUAACAAAACGAUACACUGAGAAACAAAAACACAUCAAUUAAGCUGCAUUCGUUCAUCAGUGCAACGCUUUUAAACUCCAAAACGACAUCUCAUUCUAGAUUCGUCUUCCAGCAUUGAUUUGAACACAAAAAUCAUGAUCCGAACUUCUCUCUAUCCUACAAUCAUGUCAACAAGACAUUUUUAUCUCAUUACGUGUUUUUUUUCACCGAGGGAAUGAUAUAACAAACACCCUGAAGGAGGUCAAACUCACAUUGAGUUCAUGAAUCAACACAGCGCCCCUUUUCCUUUGCCAGUCACUACCCAUUAUUUUUCCUUCAUUUUGAUGACUUGUCACAGAUAUUUCGUGGACGAGAUAUCAGCGCCUGAUGUUAUGUUGGUGCUCUGCUCUCCGAGAAGAGAGAUCACAUGGUUGGUGGGGCUGAAUUGAGCGCUUGACCCGACGACAAGCACCUCGUGUCGUGCCUGGGAUGGCUUUGCGUGUGUUUUCCCAACUUCUAGCAUGCUUUUUCGGAAGCGUUUGGAAACGCGGUUCAACCCGUGUUUUUAAAAAUUUAAAUUUUUUAUUUUAUUUUUUAUUAAAAUUUAAUAUGGUUUGUACAUUUUGGAUCGUUUUGAUGUGCUAAUGUUAAAAAUGAUUUUUAAAAAAUAAAAAAACAUCAAUGGCAUGUAUUUUGGCACGAAAAGUUAUUUGAAAAGCACCUGCAACCACACUGUCAAACACGCUCUUCAUGUUCUAUUUGCAGCGUGUUUCUUCUUGCCGUGUUUGAUGUUUUUCCAGAGUGAUUUUUAUUUUAGAUGUAUUUAAAUAAUAUAUUUUUUAAAAAAAUUAUUUUUUAUAUUAAUAUAUCAAAAUAAAUUUAAAAAAUAAAAUAAAAUUUUUGAGAACACACUGCCAGCUACAUUACCAAACAUGCUUUCGAUCUGUUAUGCAAUCCCAGCUGCUUGUUCAGGAAAGCACAGUUGCUACCAGCUAAGUGAGCCAGCAUAAAAAAAAAAAAAAACAAAUAUUGGAACAAAUUUUAAAAUAAAAGAAAACCAUUUGACUGGAUCCCAGAAAUUAGCAGAUCAAAGGACCAUGCUAACGAGAAUGACAAGAUCAUCAAUUCGAUGUCAAUCUUCCAUUCGAAAUAAAGAAAGAAAAAAGGAAUGAUCUCAAUCUCAUCCAUGUCGGUGUGGUUCCGAGGUUUCUUUCAAAUAGUCGUUUCAAGGUGAAUACUUUUAUACUCUAUAUUAAAAGAAGUCGGGUGCGCACAUUUUAUUCGAGCAGUGAAGCAGUUUAUUUAUUUACUUCUCAAUUUUAUAAGAAGUCACUUGAAUUGCAUCUGUGCUUGCAAAUUAGGCUAGAUGAUGUCGGGCUAAUUCCGUGCAAUUUAGUUUUAAACCUAAAUUAGGUUUUGAUAUUAUUUUUUUUGUUAAUUUUAUUUUUAAACUUUUUUAAUUAAUUAGCUAGGUUGCUUUUGAAUUAUGUUAAUUUAACUUUUAAUUUUGAAUUCGAAUUAGGUCAAGAAUUAUUUUUAUUAUUUUUAUCACGAUUUUAUUUUAAAAAAAAAUUAUUGUCAGUUAAUUAAGAUGAUUUUUAACCAGGUAAGUGAACGUAAUAAUGAAGUUGAGAUAUUUUUUAAACGGUGUAGUUUUGAUAAGUUUAAUAAAACAUACGAUCUGAACAUUUUUUAUUAGGUUGAAAUGUUAUUUUCUUAUCAAAUCCGCAGCUUGCUCGAAGCUAUUUACUAGUUAGAAUUAUACUAUAUAAAUUAACUUGAAAAACAAAAACUGCAAACUUCUAGCCGUUCCGUGUGAAUUUGAAAGCAAAUAACACGUGGACAGCUUGUAAACGGUGCGUGAAAAAACCGAGUAUCUCGAAAGCAGGUGGGCGCGGCACCUGUCUUAUAUGGACAUGCAUGUGAUCCAAUUUCGAUGGGCCACGUGUGCAUUUUACAAACACCCACAUGGACAAGAGGGGCGAAGAUGAUGUCCCCGUUGAACUGUCUAGGUGGCAGACAGCAUCGCACGUCUGUCCCUUUGAAAGCGACGCCCAGAAAGGUCCCACACGCGGAGAGACAACCUCUAAACGCAACCCCUUUGGGAAACCCAUGGACUUGCGGCCGACCCGGUUCAACCGUAAAUUUACGACUGUUUGGCUUCAGCGACCCUCGUAUUUCUGUUAUAUAUUUUCAUCCCUUACAGAUUUAAAUAUUACUUAUAAUAGAGCAAACCCAGUUAGCCGAAGAAACUCGAAUGAUUUUGUACAUGAACGGAUGGUAACGUAUCCUUUAUAAUAUAUUUUUAUACUAAUUUCGUUGUUAGACAAAAAUACACACACAUGUAUAUGGCGGCUAUGCAUGGAUAACAGAGAUGUGUAUAUAUAAAUUUGUAAAUUUUUUUUUGGUGACGUAAGUAGAGAAAUGUUUUUUUAAAAAAAAUAUUUUGAAAUAUAUUAAAAUAAUAUAUUUUUUUAUUUUUUAAAAUUUAUUUUAACAUUAACAUGUUAAAACCAUCUGAAAACUUAAAAAAAUUAUUUUUAAAAAAAUGAUAAAAUAGACUAGGCGUGAUCUAAGAAGUUUCUAAAUUGAAUUGAUAGUGAACCAAUCAAUCAAUUACAUGAUGAAAGGAAAUAUAUGUAAUCAAAGGAGCAUCUCAACGCCUAAUCAAACGACAGACCCGUUGUCCGCACAUCGCAUAUUUUUUAUACAGGAAGAUUAUACCAAUGUCCACACCAACUAUUUCGGUUUUAUUGGUCGAUGAAAGCUGUCAACAAGUUCUGACAAUUGGCCGAGGCGUUGUGGUAUCGGGAGAGCUGUGUCUAAUUCGGCAGGAUGGAUUCGAAUGUCAUUCUCAUGUAUUCAUGUUCCGUUUUGAAAACAGAUUUUGAAGGCCAAAAAAUCUAGCGACUGUCCUUUUUCGUGUGGCUUUAUUGUUGCAUUACGGCUUGGGUUCUCCUCCAGAAAUUGAAGUCAUGUGCAUGCGGCUGUUGUGGUGCCAACCAGAGUUAGAAUAAAAUUUUAAAGAAAAUAAUGAAUAAAAUUUUAAAGAAAAUAAGGUGAGUGUAGUUUAAUUGGUCAAUCUCUAGGUUUGUUUUUCAGAUAUUACCGGUUUGAGUCUUACAAAUUUCAUGGUCACUGAAGAUUUACAUGGUUGUUAAUUUUAGAAUCCGUGAGAUUAGUCAAGAUAUGCACAAGCUAGUCCAAACAUCCAUAUUACUAAUAAUAAAAAUUCUAAAGUCUAAUCUAUUUUCUAAACAAGAUAAAUGGAAAUGAGGAAUUAAAUGAAACUCUUUUAAACAAAUAAAACUCAUUAAUACUGACAAUUUUUACCGGUAGAAGCAGAUGGUUGUCAAUUUUUUCUUUUCAUUACCAUGAUUCGGUAACUCUCUUUCCUUUCUUAAAUUCAGAACUCAAGCAAAAGAAAAUAAUAAACAAAAUCAAUGAUUGAGAGGUGGAAAAAAAAGAAGCUAUAAUUGACACUUUUCUCCAAUAAAAAUAAAAGUCACGCUUCCUUUUCCUUCAAUUUUGUUCUGCUCUCUUUUAAUUCCUUACAAACAAUCAAAUUGAAUUUUUUUUAUUUUUAGUAAUUUCAAAUUCCAAUCAAUACAAUAUAAAAUAAUAUUUUAAAAAAAUUAAUAGCAAAAAUAAGAACUAAGACGGGAAAAAAAUAUAAAACAAUAUUAUAAAUUUACUUCAUAGUCCACAUGCAGUGAGCCAGUAGUCAUGAGAAAAUGAGAGAAGUGGUGUGUCUCUCGUAAAUUAUCACCCCACCUCUUAACCAAUGAUUUGCCCCGGUGGGUUACUCAAAAUCAACUUUAUAUGACUGAUAAAUUGCAAUUAAAAAGCGAGACGAAGGGGGUGGAAUGAUAGUAAUUAAUCUAACCAGGUUUCCCGACCAAUGCAGCAUGAAGUGAAUAUUGCAAUGACCCUCUUUUGAUAUCGAACCUGGCAUCUCCUCUUUACUCGAGUUUUAUUGUACCUAAAACCUCUUUUUUUUUUCUUUUUUUAAUGAUAAGUUUCACAUGUCACGACCGUGUGUUGGCAUGGAUGGUGAGCUGGUAUGGUAUGAAUUGAUUAAUGGGUGGGUGGAAUUACACGUCGGGACUCAUUCCUUGCCCCCGAGAGGUUGAAUUUAUUUAGAUUUCAUGAUCACACAUGCAUCGCGAGACCAGCCAGUAGCGGCUGCUGAAGAAUUGGUAUCUGCUCUGUGUUUAUCUUGCUAAAUAAAGCAGGAAUUUUUUUUUUCAAGAGGUGGAGAGGGCUGGAUUAAAAAAGAAGAAGAAGAAAGAAUCAGCACGCCACUAUUUUAUUUUAGAUUUACAUUACUAAUCAUCUAGCUUGCCUGCAAUCAUUAAAUAUAGUUGUUCCAGGGUUCAAGCAACCACGGGGAAUCCAGAAUGCUGCGAGGAUUUUUUAUUGUGGCAACGUGCAUGCAAGUACCUGGAAUGUUUUGCAAGGGCUGGGCAAUGCACAUGGAAUUAGAUAGAGGAACGCAAAUUAGCCAGGAAAAAUAUAUAAAGAUGGAUUUGAUGAUCCAUGCACUUGUUUCCGCAUAUAGAAUGGUUGACAUCUCACUAUCAUAUUUUGUGUCCAAGAGUGUUUUUCACUUAUUCUUUUCUUUCUUCUUGUGUUUCUAAAAUGUAUUUUUAAUUAAAAUAACAUUUUUUAUUUUUUAUAUUAACACAGGAUUAUUAAAAAAACAAGCAAAAAAACAUCAAUGAAAAAUACUUUUAAAAUAAAAAUUUUUAACAAACAAGUCAAAUCACAAUAUCAAGCACAUACUAAAAUGUAUAUUAUUACGGCCAAUUAAGUGAAAUUUUAUAAACAUCGAUUAUUAUGUCCCACUUGACCUGUCUGGCUUCUUCUUCUUUCUAACCUACGUUGUUUUGUCACGCACGUUCACGACUAAUGUCUUUGCCGCAGUGACAAAAAUAAGAAACGUAUUUCUGGUCUUCCAAAGGUUUCAAUCCACCACGUGAGAAUAAUUAUGCAUAUUCACCCACAAAUGCUCUCGCCAGCCUUUUGAAUAAGCUGCGAGACCUGGUGUUAAUUUAGCAAAUGGAUGCAUUGGCGUAAAUACCAAUGCUUCAUGGCCUAUACUUGAGCGAAGGAAGCCAAAAGGAAUCAUGACCUUUUUUGGAAUUGUUGUAACAAUUGUAAAUGUUUUUUUAAUUUUUAAAAUAAUUUUUAAAAUUAGCAUAUCAAAAUAAUCUAAAAAUAAUAAAAAAUUAAUAAAUUUUUUAUUGUUAAUUUCUUUUUGAAAUUUGAGAGAACGCGAUUUUAACGGCGUUCCGAAAUAGAAAAAUGAGUUUGUUUUUGAGAUAGAUUUUGUGAUUAUAGUUUUAAAAAAUAAGUUUUAAAAAAAUAUGUUUAGUUGGAUUAAAAUACGUGUUUGAUAAAAAUCAUGAUUGAGUUUAUGUAUAGUAAAAAAUAUGUGUAAAAUGUUUUAAUAAUUUUUUUUAACCUUUUCAUUAUGAAUAUUUACAAAACUCAGUUAAAAAAACACGUAAAACUGCUAUACAAUAUCUACAUUUUGAACUCAAUAUUUUAGUGGGUCUCAUGAUAUAAAACUCAAUUAUUUUGAAAUCCAAACAUAUUAUUGAGUUACAAACACAGUCUAAUACUAUCAAAAUCCCUAAACAUGGACUUGGUUCACAAAUCUCACCAUUAUAACCUGCCUGGUGUUUGGAAAGACAUUCGAGCAUUUAAGCAUGAGCAAGAGAGAAUUACAGGCAAAGACAUUGCUCCCAUUUGUGUGUGGUGGGUUCGGAUCCUCUGUACAUGACUUUAGAGCGAAGCUUAAGCAAAUAAAACAGUGCUCCCACUACACAAAUCCGUGUUAGGGAUGAAAAUGAUGCUUUGUCUUUCCCUCGGCCUCUCGCUGAAUGAUCUUGGGAAGCCUAGCUGGACAACCCACUAUGGGACUCCAAGUGGGCCAUAGAAAGGUAAUUCAGGUCGCUGCCUUUAUGAUUUAUUGGUGAUAUCACCACCAUUUCCAAAGCUAUGCUAAUCACUUCUUUGUGGUUGCGCUAGACUAGGUUUUUAUCAACCUCGGAAAGUAAAACUAUGCUAAGGCCUAUUACUUGUCUGUAAUUUCCCGCUAGUCGACCAUAUCAAGGAAAAAACAAGAUAAUAUUAGAUUUUUUUAAAAAAAAUCAGCAUAGUAAAUUAAAAGUAUCUUAAAAAAAUUAGAUGAAAUAAUUUUUUUUUUUUUGCCUUCUCAUAAUUUAAAAUAAUAACAUUUAAAUAUAUUAUAUUUUUUAAAUAUAGUCGAAACAGUUGUAUAACUAUUCAACUGCUUCACACAAAAAUUAUAAUUUUAUAAUUUUUUUUAUUUCAAACAUGUUUUUAUGAGUAAAUAUAUAUAUUUUUAUCAAAUUUGCAAAUUAAAAAACAAAUUUUAAUUAAAAUAUUAAAAUAUUAUUGUUUAUAUAGUAGUUUUUAUAGGUAAUUUUAAAUAGUCGAGUGUGAAUCUAUAUUAUAAUUAGAUAAAAAUCUAAAUAAAUAUCACAAUUAAUAAUCAUGAUUUAAAAAAAUAUCCUAUUUUACAAAGACUUUUUGUUUCCAUACCAUGUAACUUUUUAUUUGCAUUUUACAUGAUAAAUGCACAAUUUAUCGGAUAAUAUUCUCCAUCUGACACGGACUUCGAAGAGCAAUAUUUAUUAUUCUAGAUUUUUUUAUCUCAUAUUCCAAGAUCAGAGUUGGCUCCAAUUAUUUAAAAGAAUCGAAACUCCAAUUAUAAAAUAUCAAUAUCCACCUAACAGAAAUAAUUAUAUCUUGAUCAUCCCACCAAAAACAAUUUUGGGAUUAUAGCAAAUGCAGAAUAUUUUAGUUCUUCGGAGGGUUGUUACCAAACUUUAACCAAUAAAUUAUAAAAAAAAACAAGCCCCUAAUUCAAUAUGAGACCCUUACCAGAAGAGGGAGAAUCGUCAAAGGUUUAGGACCGGGUCUGUGGACCACGCGCAAGAAUCCCAAUAAAAGAAAGAAUCACCAACAAAACAAUGUCCCUUACGUAAUAAAACAAAACAACAAGGUCAAACAAAGGUACAGUUAAAAUUACGUGAUGAUACCCUCGUAUAGUUCUCAGGCCAUUCCGUCACGUCACGAUGAAACCAGGGAGGAAGAGAAGGAUAGAUACUGUGCAGCUUCUCUUUCUGCAGCGCAACUAGACAAACGAGAGGGCAUAUUUGUCCUGACAAUUAGAAACUUUCAAGAAAACAUGAAAGAAAUAAAUUAAAAAAAAAAAAAGGCUGGCCUGGUUUUAGUAUAUCUUGCCCAGUACGUUCUCCUCUCAGCGUUCCCUAGGCAAAAAAAGCCGGCUCAUUACUUCCUCUCUCUCUCUCUUCAUUUUUUACUACAUUUUUUUUUCAGAUUAUUUUACUUUCACUCUCUUUAUCUCUUCUUGACUACAGUGGUGUUGUAUAGUUUGCGUUUGCAAAGAUUCCUCUACAUUUUCUCCCAACUCUUAAGCGUUAAAGAGAGAGAGAGAGAUAGAGUCAUUAAGCAAACAAAAGAAAAUUUCUAGAGAGAAAUAUCAAAACCACAAUAACUGUCCGGGAAAUGCCCUUCUCUCCGGCGUUUCCGUUUCCUCAUAACCAGACAACAUAAAAAACCCAGCAAAUGUUUCCGUAAUAAUAAAAAGAGAUUUGAGAGCAGGAGAGAAUUUGUGGAGAGAAGAGCGUGAGGGGGUUUCUAUACGCGAGCUGCAAAAUGCGUGAAGGACUUAUCGUUGAUGCGGUAACCGACGUCGUUUCAACCACAAAGAAGAAGAAAUCAGGAGAGCAAGACAACAUCAUCAUCAACAACGACGACGACAACAAUAAUCAGCGGCAGCAGCUAGAUAAGGUUAUACUGCUAGUGGCAGACAAAGAAAUCACAAAACAAGCAGCUGUUCCGCCACAACCCAUUGUUGUUACCCGCGCUCGAUCCCAAUCCGCCACCCGUCGUGUCACUCCCGCCACCACCCCAACCACCGCCGUCGCCACCACCAGCAUCUCUUCUGAAAUCACUGUAGAAAAACAACUCCCGAACGGGGAUCUGUACGUAGGAUCAUUCUCGGGUCACGCGCCUCACGGAUCGGGGAAAUACGUCUGGACUGAUGGGUGCAUGUACGAAGGCGAGUGGCGUCGCGGUAAAGCAUCUGGGAAAGGGAAAUUCUCUUGGCCUUCAGGAGCUACUUUUGAAGGGGAAUUUAAGUCGGGUCGGAUGGAAGGAUUCGGUACUUUUAUAGGAUCCGAAGGGGACACUUACCGCGGAUCAUGGAGCUCCGAUCGAAAACAUGGGUACGGGCAAAAACAGUACGCGAAUGGAGAUUUAUAUGAAGGGACAUGGAAGAAGAAUUUACAAGAUGGGAAAGGGAGAUAUGUGUGGAAAAACGGUAAUGAGUAUUUUGGUGAGUGGAAAAACGGCGUCAUUUCAGGGAGAGGAGUUUUGAUUUGGGCUAAUGGGAAUAGAUACGAUGCGCAAUGGGAAAAUGGAGUACCGAAAGGGAAUGGGGUUUAUACAUGGCCGGAUGGGAGUUAUAUUGGGAGCUGGGAUAAUAAUAACAGUAAGGAUUUGAAAGGGCAGCAAUUGAAUAGCACAUUUUGUCCUGGGAAUAGGAAGGAAUGUUGUUUAAAGAGGAAUGAGAGUGAUUUGGUUUUGACCACUACACCCACGAGGAAGAGAUCCUCAGUUGAUGGAGGGAGAGGGAGCGGGAUGAAUUUUCCUAGGAUUUGUAUUUGGGAAAGUGAUGGGGAUGCUGGGGACAUUACUUGUGAUAUCAUUGAUAACGUGGAAGCAGAGAUGAUUUAUCGAGAUGGGUUAGGGCUGGACCGAGAAUGUAUUAGGCAGUUUAGAAGAGGUCCCUGUUGUUUUAAUGGUGGAGAGGUCAAGAAACCCGGGCAGACCAUCUCGAAAGGGCACAAGAAUUAUGAUUUGAUGCUUAAUUUGCAAUUGGGUAUUAGGUAAGGUUUUUUUAUUUUUAAAGCUGUUUUAUUGUAUAGAAUGAAUUUGUGGGUGUUUUUCUGCUGGACUGUUUUUCUUCUGUGUUGUUUGUGAUUUGAGUUGGGGAUUUGAUUCUGUAAUGCUUAAUUUUAGGUAUUCUGUUGGGAAGCAUGCCCAGAUUUUGAGGGACUUGAAGCCAAGCGAUUUUGAACCCAAGGAGAAGUUCUGGACGAGGUUUCCACCUGAAGGCUCAAAAAUUACACCUCCACAUCAGUCUUUAGAUUUUAGAUGGAAAGAUUAUUGUCCAGUGGUUUUUAGGUAUCGCAUUUUCUACUUUGAUAUUGCUCAAUUAUAUGAUUUUUGUUACUUGACAUGUUUGGAACUUUUAAGGUUCAUGCAUGCUCUCUAUUGCGAUUCCUUUCCCCCUUGAUAUGAUAUUCCAUGUUCAUAUAUUUGAGCCUAAUACAAUUAUUGGUGUAUGUUUAUUUGACUUGUUAGCAUUGAUCAAGUGCUUCAUUGCUUUUUUUUUUAAUUUCUUGUUUUUGCUAUGGUAAUGACAUUUGUAUUUGUUUUUGUUUUUUUUUCCCUUUUUAUCGGAUAUAUCAGACAUUUGAGAGAGCUUUUUCAAGUAGAUCCUGCUGAUUACAUGCUAGCUAUUUGUGGCAAUGAUGCCCUCAGAGAGCUUUCUUCACCAGGGAAGAGUGGAAGCUUCUUUUACCUUACUCAGGAUGACAGGUUUAUGAUAAAGACGGUGAAGAAAUCAGAAGUCAAGGUUAGUUGUCUACCUCAUUGUCUUCUGUAUUUGUUUAUUUUGUAAUUUGUAAUGACACAAAACUUUCAAGGGUGCAUGAGUGGCAAUUGUAAAUUGCUCAUGUCUUUGCCUUCACCUUUCUUAAUAAAACAAGACUAAAAGGUGGGUAUUUACGUUGGUUCUGAAGUUUUGUUAUCCUUGUUUUGUAAUUUGUAAUGACACAAAACUUUCAAGGGUGCAUGAGUGGCAAUUGUAAAUUGCUCAUGUCUUUGCCUUAACCUUUCUUAAUAAAACAAGACUGAAAGGUGGGUAUUUACGUUGGUUCUGAAGUUUUGCUAUCCUUGUUCAGGUGCUUAUUAGGAUGCUUCCCAGUUAUUACCAACAUGUUUGUCGGUAUGAAAAUUCAUUAGUGACAAAGUUCUUUGGUGUGCAUUGUGUUAAACCGAUUGGUGGACAGAAGGUAAGUCAAAAAGAAAUAUUCUGUUACAACUUGCUCAUUAAUCGAACUUGUUUCCUUGUCUGAUCAUAUGUUUAUCUGGAAAGCAGAUCCGUUUCAUUGUGAUGGGCAAUCUCUUCUGUUCAGAGUAUAGAAUACAUAGAAGAUUUGACCUGAAAGGAUCCUCCCAUGGCCGCACAACAGAUAAGCCUGAGGGUGAGAUAGAUGAAACCACAACUCUCAAGGACCUUGAUCUCAAUUUUGUCUUUCGUCUACAGUUAAAUUUGUUCCAGGAACUUAUCAAGUAAGUUUCAAGAACAUGAUAUUUAUCUUCUGUUGGGCAUUUGUUUCACCUUGAUUUCCAGUUGGUUUGUGUUGGAUGACUCAUAAUAUGCAAUAUGACACCAGACAAAUUGAUCGUGAUUGUGAGUUUUUGGAAGCUGAGAAAAUCAUGGAUUAUAGUCUGUUGGUUGGCCUCCACUUUCGUGAUGACAAUACUUAUGACAAAAUGGGAUUGUCACCAUUCCUUUUGCGAACUGGUUAGCAAGCUUAGCAUCAUUGUAAACAGAUUGCAAUUUUUUAUUAAUCUCUGAAUUGUUUUUCUUCGAUAGAAAUAAAUAUGUGCUUUAUGCAGGAAAAAAAGAUUCGUACCAGAAUGAAAAGUUCAUGCGUGGGUGUCGCUUUCUUGAAGCAGAGCUACAAGACAUGGAUCGUAUUUUAUCUGGCAGGUAUGUUUCUUGCCUUUCCAUCGUUCUUCUAGUUUCUGUUUACCAUACCCGGUCUUCGAAUGUGAUUGAGUGCAUUAAAUUGCGAGGAAAAAUGGUUUUUGUGCAGUCAGCUGCUGACUUCUUAAUGUGUGUGUGUGUGUGUGUGGGUCUUCGAAUGCAAUUGAGUUCAUUAAAUUGUGAGGAAAAAUGGUUUUUGUGCAAUCAGCUGCUGACUUCUUAAUGCGUGUGUUGGAUGUCAUGUGCAAGAGCAAUUGAGCAAAUGGUUGAGUGUUGUUUUUGGCAUUAAAGAUGGCCAAUAAUUUCUGAAUUGAAAUUGGCCAUUGUCAUUGGGAUAAUUGAAAAAGUGGGCCGAUACUGUAGGGGUAGUUCAGUAGACAACAGUUGUUUGUGGGGCACAUAAAUUAUAGUGGUCCUAUGAUUUACAAGAUAAGAGCCGUGCUUUUCAUUGAAUGGUGUUUGCUGAAUUAGACAAGUUUCCAUUCUUUGGCAAAGUUUUUCUUAUCUUGAAUUAAUGGGAGCUUUGUGCUUGCAAAUGGCCAUGGUGCAAACCAUCAUUAGUAGACACUAGCCAUUUGGAUCUGGAGCAUAUUUUUUUUUUCCAUAGUAAUUUACUUUUUUUUCUUUUUUCAUUAUGAUGAAAAGAGAGGUAAAUGUUUUUUACUAAUGAUCAUAAAGGUGAACUGUGAAUAAUGUGUUGUUAUUGCAACGUGUUGUUUCAGGAAACCUUUAAUAAGAUUGGGAGCAAACAUGCCAGCAAGAGCAGAGACGAUGGCGCGAAGGAGUGAUUUUGAUCAGUAUACCCCUGGUGGAUUUAGCCAUUUGACCCCUUCUCGAAGUGGUGAAAUCUACGAAGUGGUCCUUUAUUUUGGAAUUAUUGAUAUCUUGCAAGACUAUGAUAUUAGCAAGAAGUUGGAGCAUGCCUACAAGUCCUUACAAGCUGAUCCUACUUCAAUUUCAGCAGUAGAUCCAAAACUUUACUCAAAGAGGUUCCGGGAUUUCAUUGGGAGAAUAUUUAUAGAAGACAGGUAGCAGCACCAAAGAAAGAUGCAGGUAAAAAGUGGUAGUCGAAUCUGAACUGCAUCCUUCCAUGGAAAACUGGGGGAAUU